CCACCGUCAAUACCAGCUCCCAAAAUAAUACUCCAUGGAUCAAUGAUAAGGACAAAAAAGAAGUACUUAGAAACGAUUCCUAGUUAUUAUCAUGUGAUUUCUUCAUGAUGAUCAUUCUAGCUCCGAUAACAAUUCAAGCGGUAGCAAGCAUGCACCUCCAGUCAGUCAGUCGGUCAGUCGCUCGCUUUAUAUAUGUACACACAUGUUGUCGUCUUCCAUUUCAUUUCUGUUGUUGUUAACACAAGUUAAGUAUCCAUCCAUCCUUUUCCUCCGUGUUAUAGGCAUGUACUCUUGCUACUAUGCAUUUUGUUCUUUCAGAUUCGUUGUUGUUUCUCUGAUCGAUUUUGCUACUGUUGUUGCCAAUUGCUACCGACAACUCAACUGAUGCAGUCUGGUACUGUACUUGAUUAGCACUCACUAUUCGGCUAAAGUAGAAAUUAGGCAGCCCAUCGUUGCAGGUGCCCCACACAGGCUAAAAGCCAGAAGGCAGCGAAGCCUUUUGCAAUACAAGGUGCUUAGAGUGAUGCUUAGUAAAGUAAAUCAAAAAAAUAAAAUAAACAACGAUGCUUAUUUUUAUAGGAGAGAUAUCUAGUUAUGCUUAUUUCUGUAGAAGAGAUAUCUAGUUAAGCGUAUGUCUUCUAUAAAUAAGCAUCGGUGCUUAGAGAAAGAUGGAUUUAUUUCUCUAAACAUCUCCUGUAAGCAUGACGCUUGCUCGUACAUCCAAUAAAAUAAGUGGACGUCAAGCGGGCGUCUAGACCAGAACGUUGGAGGAACAGACGUACUCAAAGUUAGUAUAAAGUUGGGUCAUCUAUUUUGAAACGGAAGAAGUACAAAACAGAUCUUAAUCGCGCGCGUGCACAUGCAAGUUAGGGGUUAGGACAUUUACUGAUAAGACCAUAUGUAAUGCAUGAUGCUUAGAGAGAGGUACUUUGUUGUGUAAAAGAAAAUUCAACUUUUUAAGCACACGUGUUUGCUUAUGUAGUAGAGAUGAUUAAGUAGCAUUGGUGCUAUACAAAUAAGCAUAUGUGCUUAAGAGAAAAUCGAUCUAUAUUUAUAAGCAUCUUACAUUGUAUGAAGCCUAAGAUGGUCUUUUCUCAUUCAUUUCAUGUCACUAGGAGUAGACAAACAUAUAUUAUACAAAUAGUGUAUCGACAUAUAUAGAUUUAAAGAAAAUACAACAACAAUACAGCCCAUGCAUUACCGAUCCUUGGUGCUAAUACCAUAUCCAUAUCAGGCAAAAAAGACCAUAUCCAACAACCUAACAGCCAUAUAAUCAUGGACUUCCUAUAGGAGAUAUGCCCUAGAGGCAAUAAUAACUAUUGUUAUUUAUCUUCAAGAUUGUAAUUGAUGUUUAUGUUCUAUGCUAAAACUGCAAUGGUCCAUGAGCUCGUAUAUCCAUAAAGGAUAAGAGGAAAACUCAUAUGCAUGUGUGGAAUAAUAAACGGUAAAAUACAUUCCAGCACUUCGUCAGCGGUUGCCGGGAUGUCACCCUCCUCAAGCGUAAGCUCCUGCGCUCCGAGCCGGCCACCAUGGCCGUGCUCAUGGUGAUGACGGACAAGUACGCCAACGCCGACUCCGCCAUGAAGGUCCAGGUGGCACUGGACGAAGCUGGCAAAGCGAAGCCGGUCCCACCCCCCAAGCCGGCCGGUGAAAGCAGCCGCCAGCAGAACAACCAACAGAACAACAAGCUCAAGGCCGAUCAGUCGGCCCAGCGCUACGACAACCGCCUCGCUGCGGCUGCCGAUCAGGUACCCGCGGCUGAGCCGGCCGCCAAACGCGGGCAAGACGGCGUGGCAACCUGCCAUGAGCUUUGAGGAGAUGCUUGACGCCCCCUUCAAGCACCACAGUGGCGCAAGGCCAUCCACGCACACGCUCCGGCAAUGCGCCAUCACCAAGCGCAUCAUGAGGGGCGACAUCCCGCCUCCUCCGGCUCCGGCUCUAGGACCCCCGGCUAACGGUGCGAUGCGCGAUGACGUCUACCCCGACCAGAACGCGACCUACGUCGUCCUCACCAGCCUUGGCGACGACAAACAUAGCGAGCGCCUGCUCCGGCAGGAAGUGAACACCGUCGUCUUGGCCAAGCCAGCGUACAUGCAUUGGUCGGAGCGCCCGGUCACCUGGACCCAGGAAGACCACCCGGCCGUCAUGCCGAACCCGGGUGGCUACGCCCUCGUCCUCGACCCCACCAUCGUCGCAUCCCGGCGCAGAUGCAAGUUCUCCCGAGUCCUCAUCGAUGGUGGCAGUAGCAUCAACAUCCUCUACCGCGACACCAUGACCAAGCUUGGCCUCGAGGCCAAGGAUCUGGAGCCGUCCCGGACAAUCUUCCAUGGCAUCGUGCCUGGCCUCUCCUGCUCCCCCAUCGGCCGGAUCCGGCUCGACGUCCUAUUCGGCACCAGCGACCAUUUCCGACGCGAGUCGCUCUGGUUCGAGGUGGUGGACCUAUCCAGCGCAUAUCACGCGCUGCUGGGCCGGCCGACACUCGCCAAGUUCAUGGCCGUCCCCCACUACGCCUACCUGAAGAUGAAGCUACCGGGUCCAAAGGGCCUCAUCACCAUCACCAGCGAUUAUCGCAAGUCCCUGGAGUGUGCCCAAGCCGGUGCCAAACUAACUGAGUCGCUGGCCAUAGCCGAGGAGCGGCGCCAGCUCGACCGGAUCGUCACGCUGGCCAACGAGACGCCGACCGUGCCGGCUUCGGUUAAGGAGCCGGCUGGAGAGGCCUCGUUCUAGCCCUCCAAGGAGACCAAGAAGGUCAAGCUGAACCCGGAAGACCCCAGCUGCAGCAAGUACGUCGUUGUGGGGACCCGCCUUGACAGCAAAUAGGAAGGCGAGCUCGUCGACUUCCUCCGUGAGAAUCGUGAUAUUUUCGCAUGGACCGCAAAGGACAUGCCGGGUAUUCCGAGGAAGUAUGCCGAGCACAAACUCCACGCCCGCAAGGACGCCAAGCCUUUCUGCCAACCCCUACGUCACUUUUUAGAAGAGAAGAGAAGAACCAUUGGUGAAGAGGUCGCCAAGCUCCUGGCGGCCGGCUUCAUCAUGGAAGUGUUCUACACCGAGUGGCUGGCCAACCCAGUUCUCUUCCUGAAGAAGAACAAGACCCGGCGCAUGUGUAUAGACUACACCAGCCUGAACAAGGCUCGUCCCAAGGAUCCAUUGGCCCUCCUGCGAAUCGAUCAAGUCAUCGACUCCACCGCUCGCUGUGAGCUCCUGUCCUUCCUGGAUGCUUACUCCAGCUAUCAUCAGAUAAAGUUGGACCCAGCGGACGCCCUGAAGACGUCCUUCAUCAUGCCCUUCGGGGCGUAUUGCCACAUCACCAUGUCGUUCGGCUUGAAGAAUGCCGGUGCCACCUUCUAGCGCUGCAUGCAGAAAUGCUUGCUAGCGCAUGAUACGUCUCCGUCGUCUCUAUUUUUCCAAACACUUUUGCCCUUGUUUUGGACUCUAACUUGCAUGAUUUGAAUGGAACUAACCCGGACUGACGCUGUUUUCAGCAGAAUUGCCAUGGUGUUAUUUAUGUGCAGAAACAAAAGUUCUCGGAAUGACCUGAAACUUAACGGAGAUUAUUUUUGGAAAUAAUAAAAAUACUGGCGAAAGAAUCAAGGCCAGGGGCCCACACCCUUUCCACGAGGGUGGGGGGCGUGCCUGCCCCCUGGGCGCGCCCCCUGCCUUGUGGGCCCCCUGGAGCUCCACCGACCUCAACUCCAACUCUAUAUAUUCACGUUCGGGGAGAAAAAAUUCAGAGAGAAAGAUUCAUCGCGUUUUACGAUACGGAGCCGCCGCCAAGCCCUAAACUCUCUCGGGAGGGCUGAUUUGGAGUCCGUUCGGGGCUCCGAAGAGGGGAAUCCGUCGCCAUCAUCAUCAUCAACCAUCCUCCAUCACCAAUUUCAUGAUGCUCACCGCCGUGCAUGAGUAAUUCCAUCGUAGGCUUGCUGGACGGUGAUGGGUUGGAUGAGAUUUAUCAUGUAAUCAAGUUAGAUUUGUUAGGGUUUCAUCCCUAGUAUCCACUAUCUUCUGAGAUUGAUGUUGCUAUGACUUUGCUAUGCUUAAUGCUUGUCACUAGGGCCCGAGUGCCAUGAUUUCAGAUCUGAACCUAUUAUGUUUUCAUGAAUAUAUGUGAGUUCUUGAUCCUAUCUUGCAAGUCUAUAGUCACCUACUAUGUGCUAUGAUCCGGCAACCCCGAAGUGACAAUAAUCGGGACCACUCCCGGUGAUGACCGUAGUUUGAGGAGUUCAUGUAUUCACUAUGUGUUAAUGCUUUGGUCCGGUACUCUAUUAAAAGGAGGCCUUAAUAUCCCUUAGUUUCCGUUAGGGCCCCGCUGCCACGGAAGGGUAGGAGAAAAGAUGUCAUGCAAGUUCUUUUCCAUAAGCACGUAUGACUAUAUUUGGAAUACAUGCCUACAUUAUAUUGAUGAAUUGGAGCUAGUUCUGUGUCACCCUAUGUUAUGACUGUUACAUGAUGAACCGCAUCGGGCAUAAUUCUCCUUCACCGAUCCAAUGCCUACGAGCUUUUCACAUAUUGUUCUUCGCUUAUUUACUUUACCGUUGCUAUUGUUACAAUCACUACAAAACCCAAAAAUAUUACUUUUGCUACUGUUACCGUUACUUCCAUACUACUUUGCUACUAAAUACUUUGCUGCAGAUACUAAGUUAUCCAGGUGUGGUUGAAUUGACAACUCAACUGCUAAUACUUGAGAAUAUUCUUUGGCUCCCCUUGUGUCGAAUCAAUAAAUUUGGGUUGAAUACUCUACCCUCGAAAACUGUUGCGAUCCCCUAUACUUGUGGGUUAUCAAGACUAUGGGAGCAUAGCUCUAUUCUUUGAGUCACUUGGGAUUUAUAUCUGCUGGUCACUAUGAAGAACUUGAAAGACGAGAAAACAAAAAUUUAUCCCUCAACUACGAGGGGAGGUAAGGAAGUGCCAUCUAGCUCUGCACUUGAUUCACCUUCUGUUUUGAGUAAGCUUGCGACACCUAAACCUGCUUCUGCUAUUAAUUCUGAUAUGUCGCAUGUUAUUGAUGAUGCCACUUCUGCUAUGCAUGAUACUUAUGAUGAAACUACUUCUAUGCUUGAUACUACUGUGCCACUUGGUGAAUUUCUUGAUGAACAACUUGCUAGGGCUAGAGAGAAUGAAAUUAUUGAAACUGAUAAUAUUGAUGAAAGUGAUGAUGAAGAUUCUCCCCCUAAAUAUGAAUUGCCUGUUGUGCCCGAGGGCUAUGUUAUGGAUGAAGAAACUGCUAGAGACUUUCUUGCUUGCAAUGAUAGAAGUGAUCUUAAGAAAUUAUUAGCUAAGCUUAAACAAAAAACUCUGAAUGCUAGAAUGAAAUAUGAUCCUGCUUAUGCUACUUCACCUAUCUUUGUUACUGAUAAGGAUUAUGAAUUCUCUAUUGAUCCUGAUAUAAUUACUUUGGUUGAAUCUGAUCCUUUUUAUGGCUAUGAAUCUGAAACUGUUGUGGCUCAUCUUACUAAAUUAAAUGAUAUAGCCACCCUGUUCACUAAUGAUGAGAAAACUCGCUACUAUUAUAUCCUUAAGAUAUUUCCGUUCUCAUUAAAGGGUGAUGCUAAGAUAUGGUUUAAUUCUCUUGAUCCUGGUUGUGUGCGUAGUCCCCAGGAUAUGAUUUAUUACUUCUCUGCUAAAUAUUUCCCCGCUCAUAAGAAACAAGCUGCUUUAAGGGAAAUAUAUAAUUUUGUGCAAAUGAAGAAGAGAGUCUCCCACAAGCUUGGGGGAGGCUUCUCCAAUUACUUAAUGCUUUGCCUGAUCAUCCUCUCAGGAAAAAUGAAAUACUUGAUAUCUUUUACAAUGAACUAACCGAUGCUUCCAGUGACCACCUGGAUAGUUGUGCUGGUUCUGGUUUCAGGGAAAGAACCCAGAUGAAUCUGAAAUUCUAUUGUGUUGACAAAUGAAAAUAAUUGGACACUUCCUGAACCAACUCCUAAGCCAACUCCGAAGAAGAGGGGUGUUCUAUUUCUCAGUCCUGAAGAUAUGCAAGAGGCAAAGAAAUCUAUGAAAGAAAAAGGUAUAAAAGCUGAAGAUGUUAAGAAUUUACCUCCUGUUGAAGAAAUACAUGGUCUUAAUUUACCACCUGUUGAAGAAAUACAUGAUUUUAAUCCAUUACCUAUUGAAGAAGUACACGGUCUUGAUAACCCGACACAUGUAGUAAAGGUAAAUUCUCUCUAUAGAUAUGAUAAAGCUGAAAUCCCUCCUACUAAAAUUGCUAGCCAAUGUUUGGAUGAGUUUGAUAACUUUAUGGUUAAGCAAGAAAAUUUUAAUGCUUAUUUUGGUAGACAAUUAAAACACAAUGCUUAUAUGAUUGAACACUUGGGUGACUAUAUGUCUAGAAUUAAGGGUGAACUUAAACUCAUUAGUAAACAUGCUCCUAUGGUUACCACUCAAGUAGAACAAGUACUUAAAGCUCAAAAUGAUUUGCUCAAUGAAUUGAAGAAUAAGAAUAAUGAUUAUGCUGUUAGAGUGGCUACUAGAACUGGUAAAAUGACUCAGGAACCUCUGUAUCCUGAAGGCCAUCCUAAGAGAAUUGAGCAGGAUUCUCAGAGAAAUAAUAUUGAUGCACCUAGUCCUUCUAAAAAGAAGAAAAAGAAAAAUGAUAGGACUUUGCAUGCUUCUAGUGAACCUGUUGUAGACACACCUGAGAAUCCCAAUGAUAUUUCUAUUUCUGAUGCUGAAACACAAUCUGGUAAUGAACAUGAACCUAAUGAUGAUGUUCAUGUUGACGCUCAACCUAGCAAUGAUAAUGAUGUAGAAAUUGAACCUGCUGUUGAUCUUGAUAACCCACAAUCAAAGAAUCAACGUUAUGAUAAGAGAGACUUUGUUGCUAGGAAGCAUGGUAAAGAAAGAGAACCAUGGGUUCAGAAACCCAUGCCUUUUCCUCCCAAACCAUCCAAGAAAAAGGAUGAUGAGGAUUUUGAGCGCUUUGCUGAAAUGAUUAGACCUAUCUUUUUGCGUAUGCGAUUAACUGAUAUGCUCAAAAUGAAUCCUUAUGCUAAGUACAUGAAAGAAAUUGUUACUAAUAAGAGAAAGAUACCGGAAGCUGAAAUUUCCACCAUGCUUGCUAAUUAUACUUUUAAGGGUGGAAUACCUAAGAAACUUGGAGAUCCAGGAGUACCAACUAUACCAUGCUCCAUUAAAACAAACUAUGUUAGAACUGCCUUAUGUGAUCUUGGAGCCGGUGUUAGUGUUAUGCCUCUCUCUUUAUAUCAUAGACUUGAUUUGAAUAAGUUGACACCUACUGAAAUAUCUUUGCAAAUGGCUGAUAAAUCAACUGCUAUACAUGUCGGUAUUUGUGAGGAUGUGCCUGUUGUGGUUGCAAACGUUACUAUUUUAACGGACUUUGUUAUUCUUGAUAUUCCCGAGGAUGAUAGUAUGUCUAUUAUUCUUGGAAGACCCUUUUUGAAUACUGCAGGGGCUGUUAUUGAUUGCAACAAAGGCAAUGUCACUUUUCAUGUUAAUGGCAAUGAGCAUACGGUACACUUUCCGAGGAAACAACCUCAAGUCCACAGUAUCAAUUCUAUUGGAAAAAUUCCAUCGAUUAUUUUUGGAGGUUUUGAAUUUCCUCUUCCUACUGCCAAGAAGAAAUAUGAUAUUCUUAUUAUUGGGGAUGUGCAUAUCCCCGUUGAGGUAACAUAGUGUUAUUCGAAAUUUCUCCGGUUUCAUGUUAUUCGGAAUGAGUUUGUUAACAAGACUUGACAAACCUUGUUAGUGGAUUCCUUUUGAUGAGAAUGAGAUGGAUGAAGUUAGAAAGCACAACCUUCUGUACCCUCCUUCUACUUUCUGUUAUUUAGUUGAAAUAAAGUAAAAAUAGUAUUUUCUGUCAGUUUUCUGAAUUAUCCGUGCAAUAAAAAAUACCCCGAAAAUAAAAGUUCUCCAAAUGACCCGAAAUUGAAAUAUGAUUUUUUCUGGAAUAUUUGAGAAUAUCUGGCACUGAGAACACAAGGGGGAGCUGGCACCUGGGCACGAGGGUCCAGGGCGCGCCCCCUGCCUCGUGGGCCCACGGUGGCUCUCCUCCACUUAUUCCUGCACCCACACACUUCUUCUUCCUCCCAAAAAUUCACCAACCAGCUCAAGCACGAGUUCUAGCUCAUUUUGCUGCGAUUUUCGAUCUCCUUGCUCAAAGCACCUCUCACAAAACUGCUUUGGGGGAUUGUUCCUUGGUAUGUGACUCCUCCAUUGGUCCAAUUAGUUUUUGUUCUAGUGCUUUAUUCAUUGCAAAUUUGUGCUGCCUAGGUGACCAUGUUCUUGAGCUUGCAUGUCAAAUUUAUAUGGUUCCAAGUAGUUCUAAUGCAUGAUAUAGUCUCUAGGCACUUGUAGGAGUAGUUGCUAUCAAUUUUGUUGAGUUCGGUUCACUUUUAUUUGAAGUUACUACAAUUUUCAGAAAUUUUUCAGAGGAAGAAAUAUGUUUAGGAAAAUGUACCAAGGUGGUCCUUCAAGGAAGCAAGGACCCAGGCUUGCAAUGCGCGAUGCUGAUGAUGAACCACCAAGGGACGCUCCAGUGCGGGCUUGUGAAUGGCCUUCCGAGGACUUCACGGAUCAAGCAGGAAUCAAGGAAGAAUUUAACGCAUAUGUGCGUAGCGCUGAUCUUGUGAGCUUUGAGGCAGAUAAGUGCUGUCAGUACCACUAUCUCACUAGUUCCUUUGUGAGGAGGUUUGAAUUUUCAUCUUCACGUAAUUCUCAAACUGUCCUGUUUGAUCUUCAUGAAAAUUCUUAUACUAUGGACUUAGAGGAUUUUACCACUGCUUGCAAACUUCCACAAUGGGGUAGCACUAGUGAGCCUCGCAAAUUUGAAUUUAGAGAUUUUCUUGCUAGUAUAACUACGGGGGAGUCUAGAGACAUAGCACAAGCUACCAUAGGGAGCAUUCAUUUUCCUGCUAUACAUUAUUUUGCUCUCUUCAUAGGUAGGUGCAUAAAUGGUAAGGAUGAAGCAUGUCACAUGUGUGUCCCUGACCUCAGUGUUCUCAGGAGUGCUGUGUUAGGGGAUAAACAUUAUAAUUUGGGAGCCAUUGUUGCACGUAGGUUGCAUAAUAAUAGAUUUAAUGGAGAUUUCUUUGGUGGAAUUUAUGCAACCCGUUUAGCUAAUUUUCUUGGUGUGACCAUACGUGAGGAUGAUAUUGAGUUGCCCUCUGCUUACUUAGAUUAUGAGGCUAUGGUUCGUCAUCGUUUUGUUGAGAGGAACGAUCAGUUCCUCCAGUACCGACUAAUCUUUGACAGACGAUGCACCUAUCACGUUGCUCUCCCUGCUUCUACUUUCUUUGACUUUCAGGCAAAGGGGAGAUAUUUCAUAACCAGGGAGGAGGCGACCGAGUACGAGAGGAGGGCUGAGAUAGCUCGCCUCCAAGCUGCAGCCCACAAUGCAAUGACUGCUGCAUCUCAGUACGACCCCAACUACAACUUUGGAUAUCCGCCAGGCCAGCCGUGGCAAUAGACCAACUUAGGCCAAAAGCCUAAGCUUGGGGGAGUACGUAUUUCUCACCGACAUUACAUUUAUGUUCACACACUCAUUGCUAGAUGUCGGUGCUCAUACCUUUUCACUGUAAUAUUCAUGCUAGUUUAUUUUCCUUUUUAUGCUUUCUUCUUGUGUGUUUGAAAAAUCUUAAGAAAAAAAUAAUAGUAGUAGCUUUUAGCUAGUUUACCUUUCUUGUUGUAGUAAUAAUUAAAAGAAAACCCAAAAAUAUUUCUUGUUCUUCUUUUGCUUGUUGGGAGCUUUCUCAUGUAAAUAGUUUUCUUUUCUUUUCUUUUCUUUGGGGGUCGAUAGGAGAAGACCAUAAUGAAAAUGUUGAAGUGGCUCUUAUAUGCAUUAUUGUUGAUUUAACCAAGAGCCCAUAUUGCCUUGUCUUCUCCUGUUUAUUGAAUGCUCGCAGAUUCUAGCUUAGUCCAAUGCACGUGCACUAUUAUUAUUAUUCAUAGCGUUUGGUCGUGCAAGUGAAAGGCAAUUAUGACGAUAUAUGAUGUACUGAUUAAGAUGGGAGAAGCUGGUAUGAACUCGACCUCUCUUGUUUUUGUAAAUAUGAUUAGUUCAUCGUUACUGAUUCAGCCUAUUAUGAAUAAACAUGUUUGCAAUGACAAUUAGAGAUUAUAGUUGCUUAUCCAUGCUUGAUUAGCUAUGAGUUAUAAUGGUUUACCUUGCGUGCCAACAUGCUAUUAAAAUGGUUGUGAUGUGGUAUGAUAGGGUGGUAUCCUCCUUUGAAUGAUUUAAGUGGCUUGACUUGGCACAUGUUCACGCAUGUAGUUGAAACAAAAUCAACAUAGCCUUCACGAUAUUUAUGUUCAUGGUGGAUUAUAUCCUACUCAUGCUUGCACUCAAUGUUCAUUAAUUUUAAUGCAUGUUCAUGACUGUUGUCGCUCUCUAGUUGGUCGCUUCCUAGUCUUUUGCUAGCCUUCACUUGUACUAAGCGGGAAUGCUGCUUGUGCAUCCAAUCCCUUAAACCCCAAAGUUAUUCCAUAUGAGUCCACUAUACCUUCCUAUAUGCGGUAUCUACCUGCCGUUCCAAGUAAAUUUGUAUGUGCCAAACUCUAAACCUUCAAAUGAAAUUUUGUUUUGCAUGCUCGAAUAGCUCAUGUAUCAACUAGGGCUGUCUAUAUCUUCCAUGAUAGGCGGGUUAUUCUCAAGAGGAGUGGACUCCGCUCCUCACUCACGAGAAAAUGGCUGGUCAUCGGGAUGCCCAGUCCCAUGCUUUAUGCAAAUCAAAUCAAAAUAAUUGCAAACAAAACUCCCCCGGGACUCUUGUUAGUUGGAGGCACUCGUUGUUUCGAGCAAGCCAUGGAUUGAUGCUUGUUGGUGGAGGGGGAGUAUAAACUUUACCAUUCUGUUUGGGAACCGCCUAUAAUGUGUGUAGCAUGAAAGAUAUCGCCAUCUCUCGGUUGUUAUGUUGACAAUGAAAGUAUGCCGCUCAAAAUAUUAUUUAUCUCUGCUUUAAAACCGAGCUCUGGCACCUCUACAAAUCCCUGCUUCCCUCUGCGAAGGGCCUAUCUAUUUACUUUUAUGUUGAGUCAUCACCCUCUUAUUAAAAAGCACCAGCUGGAGAGCACCGCUGUCAUUUGCAUCCAUUACUAUUAAUUUAUAUUGGGUAUGACUAUGACUGGAUCUCUUUUACCAUGAAUUACAAUGUCUAGUCAGUCCUUGAGCUUUAAAGGUGCUCUGCAUUUAUGUUUUGCGGUCUCGGAAAGGGCUAGCAAGAUACCAUCUUGUUAUAUCAUAUCAUGAUUUUUUUGAGAAAGUGUUGUCAUCCGAGAUUUAUUAUUAUUGCUCGCUAGUGUAAACAUGAGACCUAAGUGUUAUUGUGAAUAUGGUUAGUCAUAAUCUUUGCUGAAAACUUGAAUGUUGGCUUUACAUAUUUACAACAACAAGAGCAAACAGAGUUUGUAAAAGUUUUUCUUUAUCACUUUUAGUUUAUCAACUGAAUUGCUUGAGGACAAGCAAAGGUUUAAGCUUGGGGGAGUUGAUACGUCUCCGUCGUAUCUACUUUUCCAAACACUUUUGCCCUUGUUUUGGACUCUAACUUGCAUGAUUUGAAUGGAACUAACCUGGACUGAUGUUGUUUUCAGCAGAAUUGCCAUGGUGUUAUUUAUGUGCAGAAACAAAAGUUCUCGGAAUGACCUAAAACUUCACGGAGAUUAUUUUUGGAAAUAAUAAAAAAUACUAGCGAAAGAAUCAAGGCCAGGGGCCCACACCCUUUCCACGAGGGUGGGGGGCGCGCCCCCUACCUCGUGGGCCCCCUGGAGCUCCACCGACCUCAACUCCAACUCUAUAUAUUCAUGUUGAAAAAAUCAGAGAGAAAGAUUCAUCGCGUUUUAUGAUACGGAACCGCCGCCAAGCCCUAAACUCUCUCGGGAGGGCUGAUCUGGAGUCCGUUCGGGGCUCCGGAGAGGGGAAUCCGUCGACAUCAUCAUCAUCAACCAUCCUCCAUCACCAAUUUCAUGAUGCUCACCGUCGUGCGUGAGUAAUUCCAUCGUAGGCUUGCUGGACGGUGAUGGGUUGGAUGAGAUUUAUCAUGUAAUCAAGUUAGAUUUGUUAGGGUUUCAUCCCUAGUAUCCACUAUCUUCUGAGAUUGAUGUUGCUAUGACUUUGCUAUGCUUAAUGCUUGUCACUAGGGCCCGAGUGCCAUGAUUUCAGAUCUGAACCUAUUAUGUUUUCAUGAAUAUAUGUGAGUUCUUGAUCCUAUCUUGCAAGUCUAUAGUCACCUACUAUGUGCUAUGAUCCGGCAACCCCGAAGUGACAAUAAUCGGGACCACUCCCGGUGAUGACCGUAGUUUGAGGAGUUCAUGUAUUCACUAUGUGUUAAUGCUUUGGUCCGGUACUCUAUUAAAAGGAGGCCUUAAUAUCCCUUAGUUUCCGUUAGGGCCCCGCUGCCACGGGAGGGUAGGAGAAAAGAUGUCAUGCAAGUUCUUUUCCAUAAGCACGUAUGACUAUAUUUGGAAUACAUGCCUACAUUAUAUUGAUGAAUUGGAGCUAGUUCUGUGUCACCCUAUGUUAUGACUAUUACAUGAUGAACCGCAUCGGGCAUAAUUCUCCAUCACCGAUCCAAUGCCUACGAGCUUUUCACAUAUUGUUCUUCGCUUAUUUACUUUACCGUUGCUAUUGUUACAAUCACUACAAAACCCAAAAAUAUUACUUUUGCUACUGUUACCGUUACUUCCAUACUACUUUGCUACUAAAUACUUUGCUGCAGAUACUAAGUUAUCCAGGUGUGGUUGAAUUGACAACUCAACUGCUAAUACUUGAGAAUAUUCUUUGGCUCCCCUUGUGUCGAAUCAAUAAAUUUGGGUUGAAUACUCUACCCUCGAAAACUGUUGCGAUCCCCUAUACUUGUGGGUUAUCAGCGCAACUCGGCCGCAACAUCCACGUCUACGUGGACGACAUCAUGGUGAAGACCAAGCAGCACCUCACGCUCCUCGACGACCUCAAGGAAACCUUUGCCAAUCUGCGCGAGUACCAGAUCAAGCUCAACCCGGAGAAGUGCGUCUUCGGCGUACCGACCGGAAAGCUACUCGGCUUCCUCGUCUCGGAGUGCGGCAUUGAGGCGAACCCAGAGAAGAUCAAGGCCAUCGAGCGCAUGCUUGGCCUCGGUCAGCCGGUUUCUCAGCCGGCUGGGCGAGAGGGCCUUGCCCCUGUAUCAACUGAUGAAGAAGACGACGCCGUUCGAAUGGAACGACCAGGCGGACAAAGACUUCCGAGAUCUUAAGCGCAUGCUCUACAUUGCCGCCACCUCGCGGUCGGUCAGCCCGGUGAUGGUGGUUGAGCGACCAGAGAAGGGAAAGAUCCAGUCUGUCCAGCACCCAGUCUACUACCUGAGCGAGGUGCUUUCCGCCUCCAAGCAGAACUACCCGCACUACUAGAAGAUGUGUUACGGCAUGACUUCACCGCCAAGAAACUAAACCAGUACUUCCAAAAGCAUGUUGUCACCGUGGUCAGCACGGCCCCCAUCGGCGAGAUCAUGGGCUGCUGGGAUGCCUCUGGCCGGGUUGCCAAAUGGGCAAUCGAGCUAUCCGGCCACACCAUCCUCUACGAGCCCCACACCAUGAUCAAGUCCCAGGCUCUAGCCGACUUCCUUGCCGACUGGACGGAGACCCAGUACCUGCCGCCGCCGGAUUCAACGCACUAGCGCAUGCACUUCAACGGCUCCAAGAUGCGCUCCGGCUUGGGAGCCGGCGUCAUGCUAUCGUCCCCGAAGGGCAACCGGCUCCGCUAUGCGCUCCAGAUCCACUUCGCCGCCUCUAAAAACGUUGCCGAGUAUGAAGCCCUUGUGGAUGGCCUCUGGCUUGCAAAGGAACUCGGCAUCUGGCGCAUCCCGUGCUACAGCGACUCGGACCUGGUGGUGCAGCAGUGCUCCGGCGAGUGGGACGCCCGAGAUGCCAACAUGGCCAGCUACCACUUCCUCGUCCAGCAGCUCUCUGGCUUCUUUGACGGCUGUGAGUUCCUCCACGUCCCGUGCGCAGAAAACGAAGCCGCCAACGCACUAGCCAAGAUUGGCUCAACCCGGCAGGCCAUUCCAUCCGAUGUCUCCCUCGAGCACCUGCACAAGCAGUCCGUCAAGCCGUCUCCGGACUCCGAGUCUAUCUUCGUCCUGGACGACCCGGCCGCACCCCUCCCCGGCACGGACCCGGCGGCCACAGGCUUAGGAUUGGGGGCUGCCACCUCCAACCCGGGCCCGGAAGCCGCAGAACCCGGCCCGGGGACUGCUGCAUCCAACCCAGCUGAUGCCGACUCCGACCUGAUCCCGGAAGCUGCCAUGCUCAACCUGGCCACCGUCAUCCCCAACCCGGGGGCUGCCGCCUCAGAGCCCACCAGGGUGGUUGUCUUCGCCGUAGUGACGGCUCCAUCAUGGGCCCUACCAAUCUCAGAGUUCAUGGAGAAUGGAGUCCUCCCCAUGGACGAAACCGAGGCUCGGCAAGUGCAACGCCGGGCGUCCGCCUACAACAUCAUCAACAACGAGCUCGUCAGGCGCAGCUCGUCAGGCGUUUUCCAACGCUGCAUCAAGCAGGACAAAGGCAUAGAGAUCCUCCUCGACAUACACCAGGGCGAGUGCGGGUACCACGCCGCCUCGAGGUCCCUGGUGGCCAAGGCUUUCCGCCAUGGUUUCUACUGGCCCACGGCCCUCCAAGACGCUGAGUCGCUUGUCCUCAAGUGUGAGGGAUGCCAGCGCUUCAGCAAGCGCAGCCACCAGCCGGCUUCUGCACUGCGAACCAUCCCGAUCACUUGGCCCUUCGCGGUCUAGGGACUCGAUAUGGUAGGGACCUUCAAGACCGCCCGAGGCGGCAUGACGCAUCUACUGGUGGCGGUGGACAAGUUCAUCAAGUGGAUCGAGGCACGACCAAUCAAGAAGCUGGAUGGGCCGACGGUCGUCCAGUUCAUCAAGGACAUCACGGUGCGCUACGGCAUCCCGCACAGCAUCAUCACGAACAAUGGCACCAACUUCGCCAAGGGCGCGCUCGCGCAGUAUUGCUCCGUCUCCGGCAUCCGCCUCGACUUGGCCUCCAUGGCCCACCCUCAGUCUAACGGCCAGGUCGAGCGGGCCAACGGCCUCAUCCUAUCCGGCAUCAAACCGCGGCUCGUUGAGCCACUCGUCCGUUCACCCAGCAGCUGGCUUGAUGAGUUGUCGACCAUCCUCUGGAGUCUCUGAACAAUGCCAAACCAGUCGACUGGGUUCACCCCGUUCUUCCUCAUCUACGGAGCAGAAGCCGUCAUCCCAACCGACAUCGAGUUCGACUCACCGCGAGUCAUGAUGUACACUGAAGCCGAAGCCAAGGAAGCCCGUGAAGACGGCGUCGACCUACUCGAAGAAGCACGCCUUUUGGCGCUCAACUGAUCCGCCAUUUACCAGCAAGGCCUAAGGAACUACCAUAGCAAAGAAUAUCAAGCCCCUCGCAUUCCGCAAGGGAGACCUCAUCCUCCGGCUCGUCCAGCAACAAGCCGGUCAGGACAAGUUGGCCUCCCCAUGCGAGGGCCCCUUCAUCGUCAGCAAAGCCCUGUGUGACCGCAACGCCUACUACCUCAUCGACGCCUGCAAGACGAACGUGCGCAAGAGAGACACCACUGGCGAAGAAACAACCUGACCGUGGAAUGCAGAACUCCUCCGCCCGUUUUACAGUUAGCUGUGUGCACGUAUGUAUCACUACCUUUUGUAACCGCAUGAGAAACUAUGGGGUCCCCGAACGACGCUCGGGGGCUGCCCUUUCCAGCCAAGUUAUUGUGUUCCACACAUUUGUGCAUUUUUUCUUAAAAAAACCCCAUCACCGGGGGCCCAGGGGCUCGCUCAACCCGGGGGCCCGGGGCCUGGCCGGCUUGACCACCACCCGCCGCCUUCCUCAGCACAUCUCGGCGUGUUCGGGUUGCCGGAGCCCUCCACUUCGCCCUACGCCACAGAACCGGCUUCGGCUGUUGGCCGACAAGAAUCAUGGGCCAAAGCACCAACACGUCGUGAAAUACUAAGUCGGGUCCGUCGGAUUGGCCAACCCGGCCCCACCACCUUAACUUACUGCACGACCGGCUGUUCGCCAGCCGGCCCAGUGGGUGUUUCACUCGCGCUCAACGUUUGAAGAGCCUAAGUACCGCGCACUCCUUCCAAGAGCCAAACUCCUUGUCACAGACCGGAACCGGCUGUUCGACUCGCUGGGGGGAAGCCCGAAGAGGGAGGCAAGCAAGAAAACGGCCCGAAAAACAGAAAGCAAAAGCGCAAACACUCACAAAAUAUUUACAUCAUGGAUAAAAGCAGGCCCAAGGCCAAAGUUCAUUAUAUUACACCUAAACACCCCAGUGGGUGGGUGGACCUGCUACUUAACAAAAAAUGUUGAGAAGAUAAAACAGGGCAGCUUCAGCUCAGACAGCCCCAGUGCCGGGUCACGCAGCUGCCGGCUCCCCUUCGAUGGCCUCCGGUGUCUUCCAGCCCGACGUCCUCGUCCUCGAAAAAGCCCGACUCCUCGGAGCUGCCCUCCGGGUCAUCCAGCAGCGGGCCAAAGUCGUCGGGAGGAAUGACUCCCGCCGUCGCCUGUCCACUCCAGUUGGAACUCAUCAUGCAUCGAGAACCCGACUAUAUAGCUGGCCCGGGCGGUGAUCCGGCUGGCCGCCGCCUGCAGCUGACGCUCUGCGCCUGCUCCUUGGCUCAUCAGCUGGUCCAGCGCCAGGUCCGGAUACCAAGACAUCACAAACCUGAGCGCCAUUUCGGCACCGGCACGAGCGGUGGAGCCACGCCACACGUGAAGUCGAUCUGGUCCAGCCUCCAACCACCGCGCCAGCCGCGAAAAGCUGUUUGGCACAACAGCGCUAGGCCAGAGGGCCGCCGCCAUCCCCAUGCCAGCCUCGGAGACCCGCACCAUCUGCUCGCCCAAGGCUUGUAGACGAGCUUCGGCGGCACCCAUGAUCUCCGAGAAGGUCCAGGCGACCUGCGAGGCUGUCCCGGCGCCCACGAUCCCCUGCGGCGACCGUUGAAAGAGAACGGCCUCCUCCGCCACCCUGUGCGUCUCCGGGAAGUGCCCUAUCAAAAAGAAGAACAAGACAAGUCAGCAAUGAAAAGGAAAGAAAGCCGCCUCCGCAGCGCGGCAGAAUCAAAAGAAAAGCACUUACUAGCGAAGGUCUCGUCCAGGUGCUACGCUUCGAGCAACAUACCAUGCCGCCCCCUGAUUCCGGCACGGUCGUGGUCCUGAAGCGCGUUCUCUAGAUCGGCGACCUUGGUGGCGGCCGCCUUCAGCUCGGCGUCCUUGGUAGUGGCCGCCUUCUCAUGCUCCUCCUUGCGACGGAGGAGCUCCGCCUGGUGAGCCUCCGCCGCCAUGACAGCCACCGCCUUCAGGCGCUGCACCUCGGCCUGAAGCUGGCCCUUGUCAUCGGCUAGCUUGUCGCGCUAUUGGCCGCCUUCAACAAGGGCCUGCUGGGCCUCCGCCGCCUUGGUCGCCUCCGCCAUGAGGCGCUCCACCUCAGCUUGAAGCCGUCUCUUGUCACCGGCCAGCUGCUCCUGCAGCCGGCCGACUUCGGCAAGCGCCCGCUGGCCCCCCGUGACCUUCGCCUUCAGCUCCGCCACCUCGGCCCGAAGCGGACCGGCAUAAGCAACGGCCAGGUCGCGCUGAGGCCGGCUCGGAUCAGCCAGGUCCGCCAAACCGGCAUCGCAACUGCCGCGGCUACACAAGAAGAACUCAGAGUCAAACCAAGUCAAGACUACUUUAAGAUUCGACCCAACUACUAUGUAGUUGGCCCGAAUCUCGGGGGCUACACCCAGCGGGUGCACUAGCGCUCCCCCACUAAAGAGCAUACGAAAAAGCUCACCUUCAGCAACGCGGAUCGCCUCCUCCAUGGAGGCGAGCCACACCUUGAGCUGCGGGUGCUUGUCCAGAAGCCGGUUGAAGACACCGACCCGGUAGGCAUCCAGUUGCUGCAGAGAGCAGAGGUCAGCACAAGACAGAGCAUUUAAGAUUCGACCCAACUACUACGUAGUUAGCCCGAAUCUCGGGGGCUACACCCAGUGGGUGCGCUAGCCCACCCCCACUAACUAGCCGCAAGAAGAAAAGCAGAAGACAAAUGAAGAACUGACCAGCACGGCGCGCUCCAGCUCCCGUGCCCGCUCGGCGUCGGCCCGGGCAAAGGCCCGAACCCGCUCCGCAUGCCCGCGGAGACGCUGGCUCACAGCGGCCAUCGCCGCCUCCUCCUGCGUCAAAGGCCCAAAGAAGACCUCGCUGGGCCCAGCCCGAGAUGGCUGCAACCCGGCGGCCUGACGGCUCCCUGGCCUAAUCACCAUGGCGUGAUCGCCGCUCGCCGCCUCCUCCAUGGCCGGCAUCCCCUCUGGAACGGCGACCGGAGUCGUCUACAGCGCUGUGUCCUGCAGCGCCCCACCGUCGGCGCCUGAGGCACCCCAUCCUGCAUCGCCCACGGCGCCUCCUCCAAGAUAGGAUCGUCGCCUCCUUCCUCGACCUCCACCCGAUCGACCACGUCGGUCGGCGGCGGGGUGUCGUCCCCGAUCUCCACGACCUCCCGGUCGAGCACGACCACCUCUGCAUGGUCGUCCUGGCCGCGCUCCCCCUCCGACGGCAGCAUGUAAACCGCCUCCGCCGGCUCCAUGCCCGCCGGCAUCUCGGGCCAUGCCGGCUCCCCGGCGGCCUGCCCCCAUGCUUCCGCGGCCCUGGCUCAAGCCUGGGCCGACGCCGCCUCCAUCGUCGCCUCGGCCCGGUUCCGGUCCUGCCAGGCUAGGCCCUCGGUGUCGGCCGGAUCCAGACCGAGGUCCGAGUCGGCCAUCUCCUCAUCCUAGUCGAUGACGUUGGACCGGGUUUUUCGGAACACGGCGCCACCACUGGACGCGGCCUCCAUCACCGCCAACGCCAGCGACAUCGGUGACCUGAAGCAUAGCGAAUUGAGUGCGCAAGAAGAAAGGAAAAAGACUGAUUCAAUACUUCGUCAAAGUCAGAAAAAGAAAACAUACCCUCCACCAAUGCGCUGGGUCCACCACGUGCUUCACGGCCGGCUUCCGGGGUGCCACGUCCCCCUUUCUGUGCGGCCGGCUGGCUGCCGCCGCCGCACGAGACAACCCGGCCCCAGCCGCGUCGCCGCCUCUUCCCCUCGGCGCCGCUGCGUCAAGAACUUGCGUCAGCGUCCCGGCGUUGCCCCUCGGCCGACAUCUCAAGAGACCAGAGCACGGAAGCUUACCCGUGUGGCGCGCCACGCCGUCUUUGGUGUCGGCCUCCUCCAGGUCCUCGCCCAGGACCACCGCCUCCUCCAAGCCGGCCCGCACCACCUACGUCGACGCCCGUCAUACGGAUGCCCGAUGACGUUCAGCAGCACCUCCCUUGUCGCAUCAGGAUGGAGAAGAAGAAGAUAAGCAGCAAAGAACAAGGACCAAGGACUCACCACCGGUGCCGGGCUUGCUUGGCUGUAGGGAGGCUUCCCGAAUCGCCAUUCCUCCUUCAGCCCGGCCUUGGAGAUAUCAUUGACCUGGCUGGCAAUCUGCUCCGACAAUAGGCGUCGGGGCGACAUCCUGUUGGGAUCUUGAAGACCGGUCAUCUUGACCGAUGAUGUUGGUACGGCGCUGCAGCGGCAGCACCCGACGCAUGAUGAAGGCGACGAUGAGGUCUGUGUCGGUGAGCCUCUCCCGCAUCGCCAUCUCUGUCACCCGGGCGCACAAGUUCAACACCUCCUGUGAUGGAUGCUUGGGGAAAUAAUUCCAGUUGCGUUUUCCCUGCGGCGUCGCGUCGAUGAAGGGCGGCAAGUUGAUGUGGUCCGUGCCAAGGUUGCCGACGUAGAAGAAGGAGUUCUGCCACUUCUUGGUAGAAUCCUCCAGCGGCAUCUUGAGGCAACCCCCGCGUGACCGCGUCGAGAUGACGGCGGCCCCGCCGGAAGACAUCUCCUCGGCCCCCGGGCCUUGCUGCUUCAGGAAGAAGAAGCGCACCCAGAGGUCAACUGUGGGCUCGACCCCCAGGUACCCCUCGCACAGGGUAACGAACCACGAGAGUUGUAGAAUGGCGUUCGCGCCUAGAUGAUGCGGCUGGAGCCCGAAGAACUCCAGGAACUCAUGGAAGAAGUUGCUCGCGGGGAGGCCGAACCCGCGUUUGAAGUGCGUUUAGAAGAUCACGCGCUCGGCCCCCUUCGGCCGCAGCUCCUGCUCGUCACUCGGUAGGCGCACGACCACAUCCGUCUCCUUCGGCAGGCGCUUCGUAUCACGCAAGUACGUGAUGUCCUCCUCGGUGAUGGUGGAUCCCAUCCACAAGCCCGACAGCAGUGCCAUCGAUGGUGCGGGGCAGAGCAGAGAAGGCAAGGAAAGAAUGGCGGUGAAGUCUUGCUCGAGAGCGGCGGAGCGUCGCAGUGCGCGGCGGUCGCAAGAGCAAGAGGAGAAGGAAGAAGAUGGGGUGCGCGAGUGAGAAUAAUCUCCGCCACCCCCUCCUCCCAAUUUAUAAGCUACGGCUCGAGCGUGGGGAAGUGGGAUCAUUUUUGCUCGCCCCUCCCACUUCUCCGCAAUCAGUGUGCGCGUACCACGCGCAAUAACUAUCUUAAGAAUGGCAACCGACCUGCGGACGCCGCAAUAAUCCGCACACGUGUGCCGAGGGUGCAUAUUGACGGGCUCCAGCCCGUCGCCCUGUCCCAUCGCGCGCGUGGCCUGUCAGGCCCCUUCAGCUCCCGAGCGCCACGUGGCACCUGCGCUGAACCCAAAAGAUCACACCCAAGAUUCGACGUACUCGUUGGUUUCCCACCCGCGCCGGGAUGCCUGAUCCGGCUUCCGGAAGCCGGCACACAGUGGGUGUUGCUGGACCCGGCGGUCACAAGCUUCAUCAACAACCGCCUUCUCAGGGGGGGGGGACUGCGAAGGCCCCCCACUUGAAGCUGGUGAGCCUUCACAGCUUCGGGGACUACUGUUGGGGGGAUGAACCUCGGGCAGGCAACGGAACCCGGAUCCUUUUCAAAAACAUCGGGGCCAGCAUCGCCCCUCAAUCCUGCUCAUACUUUGCCGGGUCCCUCAACCCAGCCAAGUCCCUCAACCCGGCCGAACUCUUCGACACGACCAAGACGGUGACCCGGCCCUGACGGCUGGCGCAAGCCGGCCGAACCCGACGAACCAAGACUUCCCCAGCAAGCCAACUCCCCCGUGGCGUGUUCCUCAACCCAGCCACGGGUCAGCUCCUGUCCCAUCCAAGGCAUGCGAUGGGACGAGUCUCCAUUAAAGGGAUGAGCGUGGCCAAAGUAGCCCACCAACUCCUCCGGCCGGCGGAGGCGUGGCAACAGUGCCCCACCUACCCCGCUGACCAAGGCCGGCGUGGCUACAACACACCCAUCGUCACUGAUGACACACCAGCAGACGGCGACCUGGCGGCACGCCACUGUAGCGGACUCGACCCGGCCACUCCGUGACAACCGACAUGAUGGAGAACAGUGCCCCCUGCCAUGCGGGGCCCGCGCCCGGAGAACUCGGCGAGCCCUGACACCCGACGGGUCCCAGCUCCGGCUUCCCGGACGUUGACAACCCGGCCCCACGGCCUCAUAACUUUACCAUUGUAACCCUGGGGGGUUGACCUAUAAAACCCCCCAGGAGCCCUCAUGUACGCGAGCACGCAUACAGCACACCACACACCACACGAUCAGUAAAACACACACAGGAGAAGGAGCAGCCUAUGCUUUGGCCUAUCUUCCUUCCUCCCCAAAAUAGCUCUAGGAGCAAGCUUGUACCUUCCACAUAUAAACCACGCUCGGCAGGACUAGGGGUGUUAUUUCUCCGGAGAGCCCCGAACCUGGGUAUGUCUUGCGUUCCUCGCUCGCUCAUGCCGACCUCGCCUUUGGAGCCCACCGGUGCCCUCGAGCCUCCUCCUCUCUUUAGCCAUCCUUUGGCAUCUGCCGUGCACCCACCACGACACCGGCCAAGUGAGGAGCUCCACUUCCCUUCCCCUUUUGCCCUUAUGAAGGACAAAUCACAUGGGUUUUUGGUAUUUCCAAGUGCCACUCUACCCCUUGCCUCACACUAUAAAUAGAGGUGAAGAGAGCUCUCCAAACUCACUCAAGUACUCUCAUACACUCCCCUAAAAAAAGUUCCCUCAUACACAUGCUAUACAAUGAUCUAGCUUUCUAUGUCCCUCUCCACGAAAUAGUUUCAUAGCUAAAAGAUUGUCUAAUCUUCGGUAGGUCCUAGUUUUGGAAGGCGAAGCCCUACUGGAUAGUUGACACUGGAUGUGUGCAACCCGGUAGAGAGGUCGUAGUUUCGAUCUUAGUUUGAGAGAUACACCGAGGUUCUGUCCGAGUGUCUGAUCGAGUUUCGGUCUGAGGGCCUCCCGAAGGGCUGUCCAAGUGAGUGGUCGAGUUUCUGUCUGAGGGCCUCUCGAAGGGCUGUCCGAGGGAGAACAUCCUUGCAGUUGAGAGGUUGGAAAAUCCUAGCUGCAGGGAUAUGCGCCAAUGAUCUCCAUCGACUCUCCUUCCACUGCGCUACUAGUUGGUAACGAUCAGAUCAAACCUUGUAUGUACCUUGUUAGUGGUCCUGGGCAUGUACAUACUACUGAAGAAAAAAAAUCUGCUGCGUUACCCUACAAUGGCAUUAAGUGUCGUGCUAUGCGUAGUGCAGGUUACGAUCUAGAAUUCAUGAGAUGUAUCGGUACUGCACAGAAUAAUUUGGUAGUAGAUGAGUUCUAUUGCUAAAAAUUAUUUGUGCGGGUAGUAAAUGAAAUCUAUUACCUGAUGUUCUUGUUGCUUCCCUUGAAUCUGUGUAUUUCUGAUCUUGAUGUCAUGGUGGAGUUUCACAAAGUUCUGGCAAUCCGCGACCAUGGCAAAUCAACGAAAUGCUUCAGUACUUUGGAUUCCACCAUAGUUAAAGAAAGAAGAAAUUUUGUAGACUAAAGGGCACUGCAGAUAUGAUCUGCGCGGGGUUCUUGUGUAUGACAAAGUUCACUAUGGGGCUUGAGGUUUUUUUAUCUUGUGUUUCAUACGCCCCGCAAAGUUAAUCUAGCGACUUGAAUAAUCAUACUUGAUGAUGAACAAUGGUAGCUGUGGUUUGUUUCGAAACCUUAGAAUCCAUGGAGAAUAAAAUUUGCACAAACCGAUUAGAAGCGUCUAACUUGGUUUUGCAGAAGGCAUGUGAUGUGGUAUAGUCUUCAUCAUAUUUAAUGAGAUUAUGUAUGAGAUGGCUAUAUAAUUUAAAUUAUUUAACAUGACCCGCGUGUCAUGAUUCAGCAUGAUGGUUGGAGCUAGAUGAUUGCCACUUUAAUGACCUGCUGUGUCAACCUUGUUGUAAUGCACUAAUUAGCUAUAGUGGUGGCAAUAUUAUUUGUUGUAUCUUUAAGACGGUGACAAGUUUUACGAAGGUGGACACCGACGCAAAUGCCGAAGACGAAGAAAAUAAGUCUUCUCCAUUAGAUGUCUGAAAUAUGUAUCUUUUUGGGUACAAACUGAAGGAAAUAUGCCCUAGAGGCAAUAAUAAAGUUAUUAUUUAUUUCCUUAUUUCAUGAUAAAUGUUUAUUAUUCAUGCUAGAAUUUUAUUAACCGGAAACAUGAUACAUGUGUGAAUACAUAGACAAACAAAUUUCACUAGUAUGCCUCUACUUGACUAGCUCGUUGAUCAAAGAUGAUUAUGUUUCCUAGCCAUAGACAUGAGUUGUCAUUUUAUUAACGGGAUCACAUCAUUACGAGAAUGAUGUAAUUGACUUGACCCAUUCCAUUAGCUUAGCACUUGAUCGUUUAGUAUGUUGCUAUUGCUUUCUCCAUGACUUAUACAUGUUCCUAUGACUAUGAGAUUAUGCAACUCCCGUUUACCGGAGGAACACUUUGUGUGCUACCAAACGUCACAACGUAACUAGGUGAUUAUAAAGGUGCUCUACAGGUGUCUCCAAAGGUACUUGUUGAGUUGGCGUAUUUCGAGAUUAGGAUUUGUCACUCCGAUUGUCGGAGAGGUAUCUCUGGGCCCUCUCGGUAAUGCACAUCACUAUAAGCCUUGCAAGCAAUGUGACUAAUGAGUUAGUUGCGGGAUGAUGCAUUACAUAACGAGUAAAGAGACUUGCUGGUAACUAGAUUGAACUAGGUAUUGAGAUACCGACGAUCGAACCUCGGGCAAGUAACAUACCGAUGACAAUGGGAACAACGUAUGUUGUUAUGUGGUUUGACCGAUAAAGAUCUUCGUAGAAUAUGUGGUAGCCAAUAUGAGCAUCCAGGUUCCGCUAUUGGUUAUUGACUGGAGACGUGUCUCGGUCAUGUCUACAUAGUUCUCGAACCCGUAGGGUCCGCACGCUAAAAGUUCGGUGACGAUUUGUAUUAUGAGUUUAUGUGUUUUGAUGUACCGAAGGUAGUUCGGAGUCCCGGAUGAGAUUGGGGACAUGAUGAGGAGUCUCAAAAUGGUCGAGACGUAAAGAUCGAUAUAUUGGAUGACUAUAUUCGGACAUCGGAAAGGUUCCGAGUGGUUCGGGUAUUUUUCGGAGUACCAGGGAGUUACGGGAAUACAGGGGAAGAAGUAUAUGGGCCUUAUUGGGCUUUAGGGGAGAGAGAGAGGCAGGCCGCGCGCCCCCUCAAUGACUAGUCCGAAUUGGACUAGGGGGAGGGGUGGCGCCCCCUCCUUCCAUCUCUUCCCUCUUCCCCUUCUUUGUCUCCUAAUCCUACUACUUGGAAGGGGAGGAAUCCUACUCCCGGUGGGAGUAGGACUCCUCUAGGGCGCGCCAUAGGGGCCGGCCCUCUCCCCCUCCUCCACUCCUUUAUAUACGUGGCCAGGGGGCACCCCAUAGACACAACAAUUGAUCUGUUGAUCUCUUAGCCGUGUGCGGUGCCCCCCUCCACCAUAAUCCACCUCGGUCAUAUCGUAGCGGUGCGUAGGCGAAGCUCUGCAUCGGUAGCAUCAUCAUCACCGUCACCACGCUGUCAUGCUAACGGAACUCUCCCUCGAAGCUCUGCUGGAUCGGAGUUCGUGGGACGUCAUCGAGCUGAACGUGUGCUGAACUCGGAGGUGCCGUGCGUUCGGUACUUGGAUCGGUCGGAUCGUGAAGACGUACGACUAUAGCAACCGCAUUGUCAUAACGCUUCCGCUUUCGGUCUACAAGGGUACGUGGACAACACUCUCCCCUCUCGUUUCUAUGCAUCACCAUGAUCUUGCGUGUGCGUAGGAAUUUUUUUGAAAUUACUACAUUCCCCAACAGUGGCAUCCGAGUCAGGUUUUAUGCGUAGAUGUUAUAUGCACGAGUAGAACACAAGUGAGUUGUGGGCGAUACAAGUCAUAUUGCUUACCAGCAUGUCACACUUUGGUUCGGCGGUAUUGUUGGAUGAAGCGGCCCGGACCGACAUUACGCGUACGCUUACGCGAGACUGGUUCUACCGACGUGCUUUGCACACAGGUGGCUGGCGGGUGUUAGUUUCUCCAACUUUAGUUGAACCGAGUGUGGCUACGCCCGGUCCUUGAGAAGGUUAAAAUAGCACUAACUUGACGAACUAUCGUUGUGGUUUUGAUGCGUAGGUAAGAACGGUUCUUGCUCAGCCCGUAGCAGCCACGUAAAACUUGCAACAACAAAGUAGAGGACGUCUAACUUGUUUUUGCAGGGCAUGUUGUGAUGUGAUAUGGUCAAGGCAUGAUACUAUAUUUUAUUGUAUGAGAUGAUCAUGUUUUUGUAACCGAGUUAUCGGCAACUGGCAGGAGCCAUAUGGUUGUUGCUUUAUUGUAUGCAUUGCAAUCACCCUGUAAUUGCUUUACUUUAUCACUAAGCGGUAGCGAUAGUCGUAGAAGCAAUAGUUGGCGAGACGACAACGAUGCUAUGAUGGAGAUCAAGGUGUCGCGCCGGUGACGAUGGUGAUCAUGACGGUGCUUCGGAGAUGGAGAUCACAAGCACAAGAUGAUGAUGGCCAUAUCAUAUCACUUAUAUUGAUUGCAUGUGAUGUUUAUCCUUUAUGCAUCUUAUUUUGCUUUGAUUAACGGUAGCAUUAUAAGAUGAUCUCUCACUAAAUUUCAAGAGAAAAGUGUUCUCCCUGAGUAUGCACCGUUGCCAAAGUUCGUCGUCCCGAGACACCACGUGAUGAUCGGGUGUGAUAAGCUCUACGUUCAUCUACAACGGGUGCAAGCCAGUUUUGCACACGUGGAAUACUCGGGUUAAACUUGACGAGCCUAGCAUAUGUAGAUAUGGCCUCGGAACACUGAGACCGAAAGGUCGAGUGUGAAUCAUAUAGUAGAUAUGAUCAACAUAGUGAUGUUCACCAUUGAAAACUACUCCAUCUCACGUGAUGAUCGGACAUGGUUUAGUUCAUUUGGAUCACGUGAUCACUUAGAUGAUUAGAGGGAUGUCUAUCUAAGUGGGAGUUCUUAAGUAAUAUGAUUAAUUGAACUUUAAUUUAUCAUGAACUUAGUCCUGAUAGUAUUUUGCAAAUAAUGUUGUAGAUCAAUAGCUCGUGUUGUUGCUUCCCUAUGUUUUAUAUGUGUUCCUAGAGAAAACUAAGUUGAAAGAUGAUAGUAGCAAUGAUGCGGACUGGGUCCAUGAUCUGAGGUUUCUCCGCAUUGCUGCACAGAAGAAUUAUGCCGUUGAUGCACCGCUAGGUGACAGACCUAUUGCAGGAGCAGAUGCAGAUGUUAUGAACGUUUGGCUAGCUCAAUAUGAUGACUACUUGAUAGUUUAGUGCACCAUGCUUAACGGCUUAGAAUCGGGACUUCAAAGACGUUUUGAACGUCAUGGACCAUAUGAGAUGUUCCAGGAGUUGAAGUUAAUAUUUCAAGCAAAUACCCGAGUUGAGAGAUAUGAAGUCUCCAACAAGUUCUAUAGCUAAAAGAUGGAGGAGAAUAGCUCAAGCAGUGAGCAGGUGCUCAGAUUGUCUGGGUACUACAAUCGCUUGAAUCAAGUGGGAGCUAAUCUUCCAGAUAAAAUAGUGAUUGAUAGAUUUCUCUAGUCACCAUCACCAAGUUAAUAGAACUUCGUGAUGAACUAUAGUAUGCAAGGGAUGACGAAAACGAUUCCCGAGUUUUUCAUGAUGAUGAAAUCGAUGAAGGUAGAAAUCAAGAAAGAGCAUCAAGUGUUGAUGGUUGACAAGUCCACUAGUUUCAAGGAAAAGGGCAAAGGGAAGAAGGGGAACUUCAAGAAGAACGACAAGCAAGUUACUGAUCAAGUGAAGAAGCCCAAGUCUGGACCUAAGCCCGAGACUAAGUGCUUCUACUGCAAAGGGACUGGUCACUGGAAGCGGAACUGCCCCAAGUAUUUGGCGGGUAAGAAGGAUGGCAAAGUGAACAAAGGUAUAUUUGAUAUACAUGUUAUUGAUGUGUACCUUACUAGUUUUUAUAGCAACCCCUCAAUAUUUGAUACUAGUUCAGUUGCUAAGAUUAGUAACUCGAAACAGGGGUUGCAGAAUGAACAGAAACUAGUUAAGGGCGAGGUGACGAUGUGUGUUGGAAGUAGUUCCAAGAUCGAUAUGAUCAUCAUCGCACACUCCCUAUACUUUCGGGAUUAGUGUUGAACCUAAAUAAGUGUUAUUUAGUGUUUGCGUUGAGCAUGAAUAUGAUUUGAUCAUGUUUAUUGCAAUACGGUUAUUCAUUUAAGGUGGAGAAUAAUUGUUGUUCUGUUUACAUGAAUAAAACCUUAUAUGGUUACACACCCAAUGAAAAUGGUUCGUUGUAUCUCGAUCGUAGUGAUACACAUAUUCAUAAUAUUAAAACCAAAAUAUGCAAAGUUAAUAAUGAUAGUGCAACUUAUUUGUGGCACUGCCGUUUAGGUCAUAUUGGUGUAAAGUGCAUGAAGAAAUUCUGUGUUGAUGGGAUUUUGGAAUCACUUGAUGCUUGCGAACCAUGCCUCUUGGGCAAGAUGACUAAAACGCCGUUCUCCGGAAUAAUGGAGCGAGCAACAGAUUUGUUGGAAAUCAUACAUACUGAUGUAUGUGGUCCGAUGAAUAUUGAGGCUCGUGGCAGGUAUCGUUAUUUUCUAACCUCCACAGAUGAUUUGAGCAGAUAUGGGUAUAUCUACUUGAUGAAACAUAAGUCUGAAACAUUUUAAAAGUUCAUAUAAUUUCAGUGUGAAGUGGAAAAUCAUCGUAACAAGAAAAUAAAGUUUCUACGAUCUGAUCGUGGAGAAGAAUAUUUGAGUUACGAGUUUGGUCUUCAUUUGAAACAAUGCGGAAUAGUUUCGCAACUCACGCCACCUGGAACACCACAGCGUAAUGGUGUGUCCGAACAUCGUAACCAUACUUUAUUAGAUAUGGUGCAAUCUAUGAUGUCUCUUACUGAUUUACCACUAUCGUUUUGGGGUUAUGCAUUAGAGACAGCUGCAUUCACGUUAAAUAGUGCACCAUCUAAAUCCAUUGAGACGACACCAUAUGAACUGUGGUUUGGCAAGAAACCAAAGUUGUUGUUUCUUAAAGUUUGGGGUUGUGAUGCUUAUGUGAAAAAGUUUCAUCCUGAUAAGCUCAAACCCAAAUCGGAGAAAUGUGUCUUCAUAGGAUACCCAAAGAAGACAGUUGGGUACACCUUCUAUCACAGAUCCGAAGGCAAGACAUUUGUUGUUAAAUUUGGAUCCUUUCUAGAGAAGGAGUUUCUCUCGAAAGAAGUGAGUGGGAGGAAAGUAGAACUUGAUGAGGUAAUUGUACCUUCUCUCGAAUUAAAAAGUAGCUCAUCACUGAAAUCAGUUCCAGUGAUGCCUACACGAAUUAGUGAGGAAGUUAAUGAUGAUGAUCAUGAAACUUCAGAUCAAGUUUCUACCAAACCUCGUAGGUCAACCAGAGUAAGAUCCGCACCAGAGUGGUACGGUAAUCCUAUUCUGGAAGUCAUGUUACUAGUCCAUGACGAACCUGCGAACUAUGAGGAAGCGAUGAUGAGCCCAGAUUCCGCGAAAUGGUUUGAGGCCAUGAAAUCUGAGAUAGGAUCCAUGUAUGAGAACAAAGUAUGGACUUUGGUUGACUUGCCCGAUGAUCGGCAAGCCAUAGAAAAUAAAUGGAUCUUCAAGAGGAAGACGGACGCUGAUAGUAGUGUUACUAUCUACAAAGCUAGACUUGUCGAAAAAGGUUUUUGACAAAGUUCAAGGUGUUGACUACGAUGAGAUUUUCUCACUCGUAUCGAUGCUUAAAGUCUGUCCGAAUCAUGUUAGCAAUUGCCGCAUUUUAUGAAAUCUGGCAAAUGGAUAACAAAACUGCAAUCCUUAAUGCAUUUAUUAGAGAAGAGUUGUAUAUGAUGCAACCAGAAGGUUUUGUCAAUCCUAAAGGUGCUAACAAAAUGUGCAAGCUCCAGCGAUCCAUGUGUGGACUGGUGCAAGCAUCUCGAAGUUGGAAUAUACGCUUUGAUGAGUUAAUUAAAGCAUAUAGUUUUAUACAGACUUGCGGUGAAGCCUGUAUUUACAAGAAAGUGAGUGAGCACUACAACAUUUCUGAUAAAUAUAUGUGAAUGACAUAUUGUUGAUCGGAAAUAAUGUAGAAUUUUCUGGAAAGCAUAAAGGAGUUUUUCAAAGGAAUUUUUCAAAGAAAUACUUUGGUGAAGCUGCUUACAUAUUGAGCAUCAAGAUCUAUAGAGAUAGAUCAAGAUGCUUGACAAGUUUUUUCAAUGAGUACAUACCUUGACAUGAUUUUGAAGUGGUUCAAAAUGCAAUAGUCAAAGAAAGAGUUCUUCCCUGUGUUACAAGGUGUGAAAUUGAGUAAGACUCAAAGCCCGACCAGGCAGAAAAUAGAGAGAGAAUGAAAGUCAUUCCCUAUGCCUCAGCCAUAGGUUUUAUAAAGUAUGCCAUGCUGUGUACCAGACCUAUUGUAUACCCUACACUGAGUUUGGCAAGGGAGUACAAUAGUGAUCUAGGAGUAGAUCACUGGACAGCGGUCAAAAUUAUCCUUAGUGGAAUGAGGAUAUGUUUCUCGAUUUUGGAGGUGACAAAAGGUUCAUCGUAAAGGGUUACGUCGAUGCAAAUUUUGACACUGAUCCAGAUGACUCUAAGUCUCAAUCUGGAUGCAUAUUGAAAGUGGGAGCAAUUAGCUAGAGUAGCUCCGUGCAGAGCAUUGUUGACAUAGAGAUUUGCAAAAUACAUACGGAUCUGAAUGUGGCAGACCCGUUGACUAAACUUCUCUCACAAGCAAAACAUGAUCACACCUUAUUACUCUUUGGGUGUUAAUCACAUAGUGAUGUGAACUAGAUUAUUGACUCUAGUAAACCCUUUGGGUGUUGGUCACAUGACGAUGUGAACUAUGGGUGUUAAUCACAUGGUGAUGUGAACUAUUGGUGUUAAAUCACAAGGCGAUGUGAACUAGAUUAUUGACUCUAGUGCAAGUGGGAGACUGAAGGAAAUAUGCCCUAGAGGCAAUAAUAAACUUAUUAUUUAUUUCCUUAUUUCAUGAUAAAUGUUUAUUAUUCAUGCUAGAAUUGUAUUAACCGGAAACAUGAUACAUGUGUGAAUACAUAGGCAAACAAAGUGUCACUAGUAUGCCUCCACUUGACUAGCUCGUUGAACAAAGAUGGUUAUGUUUCUUAGCCAUAGACAUGAGUUGUCAUUUGAUUAAUGGGAUCACAUCAUUAGGAGAAUGAUGUGAUUGACUUGACCCAUUCCGUUAGCUUAGCACUUGAUCGUUUAGUAUGUUGCUAUUGCUUUCUUCAUGACUUAUACAUGUUCCUAUGACUAUGAGAUUAUGCAACUCCUGUUUACCGGAGGAACAUUUUGUGUACUACCAAACGUCACAACAUAACUGGGUGAUUAUAAAGGUGCUCUACAGGUGUCUCCAAAGGUACUUGUUGAGUUGGCGUAUUUCGAGAUUAGGAUUUGUCACUCGAUUAUCGGAGAGGUAUCUCUGGGCCCUCUCGGUACUGCACAUCACUAUAAGCCUUGCAAGCAAUGUAACUAAUGAGUUAGUUACGGGAUGAUGCAUUACAUAACGAGUAAGGAGACUUUCUGGUAACGAGAUUGAACUAGGUAUUGAGAUACCGACCAUUGAACCUCGGGCAAGUAACAUACCAAUGACAAAGGGAACAACGUAUGUUGUUAUGCGGUUUGACCGAUAAAGAUCUUCGUAGAAUAUGUGGUAGCCAAUAUGAGCAUCCAGGUUCCGCUAUUAGUUAUUGACCGGAGACGUGUCUCGGUCAUGUCUACAUAGUUCUCGAACCCGUAGGGUCCGCAUGCUUAAAGUUCGGUGACGAUUUGUAUUAUGAGUUUAUGUAUUUUGGUGUACCGAUGGUAGUUCGGAGUCCCGGAUGAGAUUGGGGACAUGACGAGGAGUCUCGAAAUGGUCGAGACGUAAAGAUCGAUAUAUUGGACGACUAUAUUCGGACAUCGGAAAGGUUCCAAGUGGUUCGGGUGUUUUUCGGAGUACCGGGGAGUUACGGGAAUACGGGGGAAGAAGUAUAUGGGCCUUAUUGGGCUUUAGGGGAGAGAGAGAGAGGCAGGCCGCGCGCCCCCCAAUGAUUAGUCCGAAUUGGACUAAGGGGAGGGGCGGCGCCCCCUCCUUCCUUCUCUUCCCUCUUCCCCUUCCUUGUCUCCUACUCCUACUACUUGGAAGGGGAGGAAUCCUACUCCCGGUGGGAGUAGGACUCCUCCAGGGCGCGUCAUAGGGGCCGACCCUCUCCCCCUCCUCCACUCCUUUAUAUACGUGGCCAGGGGGCACCCCAUAGACACAACAAUUGAUCUGUUGAUCUCUUAGCCGUGUGCGGUGCCCCCCUCCACCAUAAUCCACCUCGGUCAUAUCGUAGCGGUGCUUAGGCGAAGCUCUGCGUCGGUAGCAUCAUCAUCACCGUCACCACGCCGUCGUGCUGACGGAACUCUCCCUCGAAGCUCUGCUGGAUCAAAGUUCGUGGGACGUCAUCGAGCUGAACGUGUGCUGAACUCGGAGGUGCCGUGCGUUCGGUACUUGGAUCGGUCGGAUCGUGAAGACAUACAACUACAUCAACCGCGUUGUCAAAACGUUUCCGCUUUCGGUCUAUGAGGGUACGUGGACAACACUCUCCCCUCUCGUUGCUAUGCAUAACCAUGAUCUUGCGUGUGCAUAGGAAUUUUUUUGAAAUUACUACGUUCCCCAACACAAACGAAUUGAGAAGUAUGAGGCGGGUGAUGGUCAGACCUCACAGCAAGAUCACUUGGUUGUCUUCACGCUCAGGCAGGAUCGUCCUGAACUCGGAACACACCCAUUGAAAAAUGAACAAGAGUCACAUAGAGAUGUGAUUGGCAAGUUGGCCUACCAGUUGAAAUUCGCGUCAUUAGUGAUGUCCACAUCAAUGGCGUUGAAUUAAAAUACGUGUCUUGUAUCACUCACAAUGAGAUAUUGAUUUGAGUGGGAGCGCACUUUAGAAUUAAUUUUUUUAAAUAGCUAGUGCAUUUAAUUAUGAACAAAGUCUAAGUGUAACUUGUGUUUAAUUACCAUUGUAGAUCAAAUGGCUCGCAACCUCCCGUUUAGCUUAGGCCUGAUGUUAGAGAGAGAAGUUAACUACAAAUGGAAGCAAUGAUGGUAGCUGGAACUACGUCGGUAUUUCCCUGGAGAGGGAGGGAUGAUGUAGCACAACGACGGUAGGUAUUUCCCCAAUUAUGAAACCAAGGUAUCAAACUAGUAGGAGAACCAAGUAACACAACGUAAGCAACACCUGCACACAAACAACAACACCUCGCAACCCGACGUGUUAAAGGGGUUGUCAAUCCCUUCCGGGGUACGACGCCUCAAGAUAGGCAAACGGACGCGAGGUAAAUUGUAGUAGAUUGAUAGAUCGAACGCCAAAUAAAAUAAAUAAAGAUAAAACGCAGCAAGGUAUUUUUGAAUUUUUAUGGUUUAAUAGAUCUGAACAAGUUAGUUGGGUCCGUAGGUUUCACUAGUGGCUUCUCUCGAGAAAAACAGCAAACGGUGGGUAAACAAAUUAUUGUUGGGCAAUUGAUAGAUUUUCAAAUAAUUAUGACGAUAUCCAGGCAAUGAUCAUUCCAUAGGCAUCACGUCCAAGAUUAGUAGACUGACUCCUGCCUGCAUCUACAACUAUUACUCCACACAUCGACCGCUAUCUAGCAUGCAUCUAAUGUAUUAAGUUCAUGGAAAAAGGAGUAAUGCAAUAAGAACGAUGACAUGAUGUAGACAAGAUCCGUUUAUCUAUAUGGCGGUAGAUAUAGAUCUCAUCUUUUUAUCCUUAGUAGCAACGAUACAUACGUGUCGGUUCCCCUUCUGUCACUAGGAUCAAGCACCGUAAGAUCGAACCCACUACCGGGCACCUCUUCCCAUUGCAAGAUAAAUAGAUCAAGUUGGCCAAACGAAACCCAAAUAUCGGAGAAGAAAUACGAGGCUAUAAGAGAUCAUGCAUAUAAGAGAUCAAAGAAACUCAAAUAACUUUCAUGGAUAUAAAAAGAUAUAACUGAUCAUAAACUCUAAGUUCAUCAGAUCCCAACAAACACACGGCAAAAGAGUUACAUCAUAUAGAUCUCCAAGAGACCAUUGUAUUGAGAAUUCAGCAAGAGAGAGAAAGCCAUCUAGCUACUAACUACGGACCUGAAGGUCUACAAAGAACUGCUCACGCAUCAUCGGAGAGGCAUCAAUGGAAGUGGUGAACACCUCCGUGAUGGUGUCUAGAUUGGAUCUGGUGGUUCUGGACUCUGCGGCGGCUGGAUGAAUAUUUCGUCGACGCCUCUAGGGUUUCUGGAUUUUUGGGGUAUUUAUAGAGCAAAGAGGCGGUCCGGGGGGUGCCCGAGGUGAGCACAACCCACCAGGGCACGCCAGGGCCUCCCGGCGCGCCCUGGUGGGUUGUCCCCUCCUCGGGACUCCCCCCUGGUGAAACCAGGGCCCAUCUUCUUUCUUCUGGCCCAUAAAAAAUCUCCAAAUUUUUUUGGGGCAUUUGGACUCCGUUUGAUAUUGAUUUCCUGUGAUGUAGAAAACAUGCAGAAAACAGCAACUGGCACUGGGCACUAUGUCAAUAGGUUAGUACCAAAAAAUGAUAUAAAACGACUAUAAAAUGAUUAUAAAACAUCCCAAGAUUGAUAAUAAAACAACAUGGAACAAUCAAAUAUUAUAGAUACGUUGCAGACGUAUCAGCAUCCCCGACCUUAACUCCUGCUCGUCCUCGAGUAGGUAAGUGAUAGAAACAGAAUUUUUUAUGUGGAGUGUUGUUCAUCAAGUCAUAUCAUAUUCUUUUCUUUAAAGCAUGGACAUUUGGACAUUUAUGUGAUUCAAAGCAAUAGUCUAGUUUUGACAUAAUAAUUUAGAUACUCAAGUAUAUCAACAAGCAACCAUGUCUUUCAAAAUAUGAAUGCUAAAACAAGUUAUCCCUAGCCCAUCAUGCUCAAACAUUGAUCCAUCCAUGAAACACACUCGAAUAUUAGCUACACCCAAUACUUAAGUACGAUCAUAUUGCCUCUUAGUUGGUUCUUUUGUAAGAGAAGAUGGAGACUCAAAAUAAAAAUUGCAUAAAGUAAAAGAAAGGCCCUUUGUCGGUGUCAAAACCGGCGGAUCUCGGGUAGGGGGUCCCGAACUAUGCGUCUAAGGCGGAUGCAACAGGAGGUGGGGGACACGAUGUUUACCCAGGUUCGGGCCCUCUCGAUGGAGGUAAUACCCUACUUCCUGCUUGAUUGAUCUUGAUGAUAUGAGUAUUACAAGAGUUGAUCUACCACGAGAUCGUAGAGGCUAAACCCUAGAAGCUAGCCUAUGGUAUGAUUGUUGUUCUUGUCCUACGGACUAAGCCCUCCGGUUUAUAUAGACACCGGAGGGAGCUAGGGUUACACAGAGUCGGUUACAAGGGAGGAGAUCUACAUAUCCGUACUGCCAAGCUUGCCUUCCACGCCAAGGAGAGUAUCAUUCAGACACAGGACGAAGUCUUCAAUCUUGUAUCUUCAUAGUCCAACAGUCCGACUAAAGUAUAUAGUCCGGCUGUCCGAGGACCCCCUAAUCCAGGACUCCCUUAGUAGCCCCUGAACCAGGCUUCAAUGACGAUGAGUCCGGUGCGCAGAUUGUCUUCGGCAUUGCAAGGCGGGUUCUUCCUCCGAAUACUCCAUAGAAGAUUUCGAACACAAGGAUAGUGUCCGGCUCUGCAAAACAAAUUCCACAUACCACCGUAGAGAGAAUAAUAUUUCCACAAAUCUAAUCUGCCGACACAUUCUACAGCAUGACAUCACACUACGGCCCGGUCAUUAUUUGAACCUUUUUCUCAACCAGCUAUGGCACAUAUUGCGAGGCGGUUUUCUUGGCACGUCUUGUCAAAGCAGAGAUCGUGUCCCCUUAUCACAGGAUUCUCAUCAAUACGGGUGUGGGUAACCCAACUGCGCCAUCAAUUACGGCACUUGGGGAAUAAGCGGUUUUACCAGGCAAGUGGGGAGGCGCAGAAUCCCUGCUGCCUUUAUAAGGGGAUAAGGACUCCCUUUCGCACCCACACUUUCUUCUUCCCAAUCCAUUCCCCUCCGCUCAAGCUCCAGCGCCCAAGCGUUCAUCUUCUCUGCCCACAAAGGCCUUCCGAAAAUGUCCGGAUCCGGAGGAGGAGGCAAAUGGAUGGCCUCUACCGUCCAGGAGAAGGAUAUCAAAAAGCUUCGGGAGGCCGGGUAUGUGGCCAAAAAUAUCAGCCAUCGUCUCCCGACGGCGGGACAGAUCGUCCCUACCUCGGAACCCCACGAGAGGGUUGUAUUCCUUCCUCAUUUUGUCCGCGGGCUAGGGUUUCCCCUCCACCCGUUCAUUCGCGGCAUCAUGUAUUAUUAUGGGAUCGAUCUUCACGAUCUGUCCCCUAAUUUCUUCCUCAACAUCUCGACAUUCAUUGUCGUGUGCGAGGCUUUUCUUUGCAUCUCGCCACAUUUUGGCUUAUGGCUGAAGAUUUUUAAUGUGAAGCCCAAGGUAGUGGGUGGCGAGCACGCCGAGUGUGGGGGCUCUAUGGUGAGCAAGAUGCCCAACGUUACAUGGCCAACAGGCACCUUUAACAAUUCUGUCAAGGAGUGGCAACAGCAGUGGUUUUACAUCACCGAGCCGCGCGGUACGGAAUGGGCCGCUACUCCCGAGUUUUGAUCCGGUGCCCCCCUGCGGCUUACAUCCUGGGUCAAGAAGUGCCUGAAUUGGUCCUCGUCUGACGAAUUGUCGGUGCUCUAGACGCGCGUUAAAGAUAUGGGAGACAAGAACAUUGAACUUGUCAAUGUGGUCCAGGUGAUGUUAGUUCGCCGGAUCCUGCCUUGUCAGCACCGGACUUGCAAUCUAUGGGAAUUUGAUCCGGCCAAGCACCAAACCUUGCGAGAGCUUUUCGGCUCUUCGCACAAGGACAUCUCGAAGGUGCUUUUCAAGUCCAGCAAAUCAUGGCCGGACUCCGCCGAAGACCGCGGGUACCAACUAUCCCGCCCUGCAAGUUCGGUGAGUAAUCGUACUUUUUGUCCGCAUAACCCAAGGGAAGCGCUUAAUGUGUUUUCCAUAAUUCUCCCAGGGCUGGACGAAGAAGGCGGAGCGGAUCCAUUGUCCGGCCCCGCUGCCCGAAGAACCGGUCGUCCCACUUCUGACGAAGAUGCUGGUCCCGACGCCUUACAAGGUGCCGAAGAAGACAGCCGAGAAGGAGGCCAAAAAGACCCGGGGCGGCCUUCGUCGCCGCAGCACUUCGGACACAAUAUCCGAAGGCUCUGAUGCCCAUUCCGCCUCCGAAGAGGACGAGGAGGAGGAGGAAGAUGAAUCCCCUACGGGGGAAAGAAAGAAGAGGACGGCCUCCGCACACGUGGAGGCCGUGUCGCCUAAAAGGGGGAAAGCUCCUUUUCCGGAGGAGUCCACUACCGCCGCCGACAGCGGCCUGGCGUGGGAUCCCAGGGCCCAGCCGCUGGUGAACUCGUGAGUAUAUACAGUCCGAAUACGUUUAUGCGUCCAGACUCAUCAUGGCAUAAUAUUUUAACGUGAGCCAUAUUUUUUGUAGUCUGGCGAGGUCCCGUACCGAACAAUCCUCAUCAGAGGAUUCGCUGAGCUCGGAUGCUAUGGAGAGCGGGACGCCCCUGAAGGCCCCUUCCUUCAAACAGGUGAAUACCACCGAGGCUUCGUCCCAGAGGGACCCCGGCCAAGGAGGAGAGGAAAAGACCGCGAAGGCGGCGCCUGGAGGUCAAACUUCAGGGGCCGAACACAUGAGGGAGAAAAUCCCCAUCGGGGCUGACGGCGGGGGUCAUCCUGAAUUCGGCUCCCAGCCGGGUGCAGUUUUGGAGACCAAUACGGCUCCAGAAUCAGGUAGGCAGCCUCUCUCAGCUGGAGGGGGCAUACCGGCAACCUCUGUCCAACCAGAGGUGUCGGAUGCUUUGUUGGUGGCGCUGAAGAGCGCCUCCAUCGUUGAUGAACACCGUGCCCUUAUGGGUGCGGUGAUUGAGAAGAUUCAGUCUGCUGAGAGUGGACUGAAUGGAGCCUGUAUCAGCCUUAUAAAAGGCUUUGAGGUAUGUUUUUUGAAGAGUGUCAUGGUAUGGAUAGUAGCCCCUGAUACACUGUUCGGUGAAAGAAAAAGCCAGACAGAGGAUCAAAUUUAUGUUCUCAGGAAGACUCAUUGAAUGACAUCUAUUUCUCUUCUAUUAUAAGCAGGCGUCUGUAGCGGCUGCUGCCUCUCAUACUGCGGAGAUCUCUGGACUGAAUCAAAGUCUGGAGCGGGCCAAAGAAGAACUUGGCCAGUUGAAAAUGCAGUUGGGAGAUAAACAAGGUAUGCACAAGUCUUGUUCGCGUUUAUUGCGAAUAAAUUUCAGUAUGAUGAAAUAUGCUUCAUGAUUUGCACUAGGGAUGGUGACCGAAGUCGAGGCCCUUAAGAAGGCUGUGGCCGAGGCCGAGAAAAGGGCAACCACAGAGCAGGCUCUUCGUGAGAAGUGCGAGGCCGGGGUUAUUAAAGCUGAGCAGGAGCUGCAAGAGGCCGUGAAGAAAUGCGAGACCUUGGAGCAGAGUUUAACGGAGAAAUAAUCCGAACUCACCAAGGCGCAUCAGGCCACGAGCGAUGCCCGGGGGGAAACCCAAAGCGCCCUGCAGGGGAUUCAAGAGGCGAGGAAGAUCGAGGCGGGUAAGGCUUUUUCCUUAUAAAGCGAGUAUUUGAGGAGAAGAUUAUGUUUCUAAUUUUGAAUUCGGAUUUCUCCAAGGGUAUUUGCGGAGCUGCCCCGCAGCAUAUCGGAUGCCGCCCAAUUCUACCGGGCCGAAGAAAGGAACACUGCGGAUAAGCUCUUCUGGUUGCAGUAUUUCGCACCGAAUUAUCCGUGCCUUUUGCCGAUCAACUGAAACAGCUGAUCGAACUGCAUAAGGCGGCGGAACUAGCCAUGAAAGAUUUGAUUAUCCGGCUAUGGCCUGCCGAUCCGAUUCCAAGCAGCUACUUCGGGCUCGUCAAGCGGCUUGUGAGCGCUUGCCCUCGACUUGACGUCAUCAAGCGGUCGGUCUGCAUAGAGGGUGCACGAAUGGCCUUCGCCCGCGCAAAGGUGCACUAGGGGAAGAUGGAUGCUGAAAAGCUGAUGACCGAAGGGCCGCCAGAGGGGAAGGAGCACCGCAAGCCCGAAUUAUAUUAUGAAAGUGUUCUAAAAGGAUCCUACCUUGCAGCGGAGCUAUGCACCAAGGACAUUAUAUUUCCAUGAAUGCCAAUCAUGUUGUCCUUUAUAAUGUUUGAACAAGGUCAUUUAUUUAUUGCCUGUUAUGUAAAAGUUUACCCUCAUGUGCGGCCGUUUUAUAUGCUAAACCUGAGAGUUGGCCAGUCGUCGGCUUCUGGCCCCCACGUAAGAAGUACGGGGGUUUUCGGUAUAAACCUGAGCACUCUUUAUCCCAGUUUUGGGUCCUUCGAAGGAGGUGCUCAGCACAACGAACCAGGCAAUCGGACUAUAGGGCUUUAUCACUCUCACUUAGCCAUAGGAGCUUUAGUAAGGUAGGCGCAGCCCCUGGUGUUCGGAAGACCGUACUAGGGGCUCUAUAAGCACCUGAUCGGAGGAAAAACCGAUCCAUCGCACGCUACAUUGGUUAUGGACUUAUGCGGGAGAAAUCCUUAAAGAUUUUACGACCUCUCGAACAGCUGAUCAGCUCUCGCCGUAUCAUGACAGUCAGUUUUCGGCUUUCUCUACUGAGGUGCUCGUCCAGAAGAACCGGGACACAAUCGCAGUAGUUCUCCUAGUGCUACCUUAGCCGAUAUAGCGGAACGUAAGGUACCAAAACAUGGGAGCCGGGCAAACCCAACUAUUGACCCAAGGCAUGAUUCGGAGCUGAUGCAUAUAGUGCUAUAAGUUCGGGGUGCUGAACUUCCACGAAGGUGUUCGGACUUUAUUGCCGUACUGUGGGUAAAACGAAGCCCCUGGUAUGUUUAAAGGCGUAUCGCGGUGUACGGAUGCCAUUCGACAAAAGAGUUUCAAUAAGAAAUGACAGCAGAAAAGCGUCAUACAAAUCCACAUAUUUUAUUUGAAUAGUACGUCGAUGCGUAUAAGACAGGUAAUAAUGGAAAAGAAAUACGACUGUGGAACCUGCUGAGACCAAGGAAGAAGAAGCUGCGUGCGGAUCCGGAGUAUAGUCGAAUGGUCAUCGCGGGGAAUAUCUAAGGUCUCCCUUGCGUGUUCGGGCUGCCUCCGUAUCGCCCGUCCUGGUCGGCGCAAAUGUGAACCUGCGAAGGAAAUGUAAGAAAUGUUUGCGUGCCGGAGAGCGGUUUAGCCGCUGAGUGCGGCCUAUCCUGGCCUUCGCCGGAGUGUUUAACUGAGCUCCGGAUGAGCCAGGCUAUCCUUCCGCGAAGUAGUUCGGAGUCCUUUGACGGUGUCCGGGAGCUUGGCCGUCGACUCGAGGUUCGGCUACAAGGUGCUGCUCGUUGCUUCUGCUGUUAAGGCAGUGAUGUACUCGUUGAUGCCGAAGUAAAGUUUGUCCUUGCCAUUAACCGUGAUGACGCCGCGUGGACCUGGCAUUUUGAGCUUACGGUAGGCAUAAUGUGGCACCGUGUUGAAUCGAGCGAACGCGGGUCGUCCGAGCAGUGCCUGAUAAUCACUGCGGAAGGGGACGAUUUCGAAGAUUAACUCUUCGAUACGGUAAUUGUCAGGUGAUCCGAAGACUACCUCAAGGGAGAUUGAGCCUGUACAGCUGGCUUCCACACCUGGUAUAAUGCCUUUGAAAGUGGCUUUAGUGGGUUUGAUCACCGAAUGAUCGAUGCCCAUCUUGCGCACUGUGUCCUGGUAAAGCAGGUUUAAACUGCUGCCUCCGUCCAUAAGGACUCGUGUGAGGUGGAACCAGUCAAUUAUUGGGUCGAGGACUAGUGCGGCUGGGUUGCCCUGAUUGGCGUUAACCGGACGAUCCGUGCGGUUGAAGGUGACCGGCCCUUGUUUAUAUUGUGGGACGACUAGUUCCGUUAAGUUGGCAUCCCUAGGGGUGCGUAUCCGGUCCGGGUUGGGAAUUUGGGUGGUGUUUACCACGUUCACCGUUUGGAUUUGCGGGGGAAAUUUCUUUUGCCCUCCUGUGUUUGGUGAUCUGGGCUCUUCGUCGCCAUCAUCGCUUUGAGACCCUCCUUCCCUGUUUUUGGCGCCUGCCCUGCCGGCUUGUUUGAAGACCCAGCAUUCUCUGUUGGUAUGUGUGGCUGGCGUCCCUGGGGUGCCAUGAAUUUGGCAUUGACAAUCGAGUAUGCGGUCGAGACUGGAUGGACUCGGAUUUUUAUUUUUGAGGGGCCCUUUCCGCUGACUGCACUUUCAGCCACUAAACCCGGCAUUAACUGCCGUAUCUUUGGUGUUUUCACCAUAUUUGCGACCCUUGUGUUUGUUGCGUUGUGGUUUGCCGUUGCUAUCCCUGGCCUUUGAUGUGCCAGGUUUGCUUGUUGUGUUGUUACUACGAGCUAACCGGCUAUCUUCACCCGCACAAAAGCGGGUCAUAAGUGUCGUGAGGGCUGCCAUGGAUUUUGGCUUCUCUUGACCGAGGUGCCGGGCGAGCCACUCGUCAUGGAUGUUAUGCUUAAAUGCCGCUAAGGCCUCUGCAUCCGGACAGUCGACAAUUUGGUUCUUCUUAGUAAGGAACCGGGUCCAGAAUUUCCUGGCCGAUUCCCCUGGCUGCUGAGUUAUAUGACUUAAAUCGUCAGCAUCCGGCGGUCGCACAUAAGUGCCCUGGAAAUUGUCCAGGAAUGCAUCUGCCAGGCUCUCCCAACUUCCAAUGGAGUUUGCCGGCAAGCUGUUCAGCCAAUGCCGAGCCAGCCCUUUGAGUUUUAGCGGGAGGUACUUGAUGGCGUGUAGAUCAUCCCCGCGGGCCAUGUGAAUGUGGAGGAAGAAGUCUUCUAUCCAUACCGCGGGGUCUGUAGUACCAUCAUAUGAUUCAAUGUUCACGGGUUUAAACCCUUCUAGGAAUUCAUGAUCCAUUACUUCAUUGGUGAAGCAUAGGGGGGGUGCGGCGCCUCUGUGCCGGGCUCAUGUCACGACGCAGUUCAUACGAGUCUUGUCUAUUGUAUUCGGCCCGGCCGGAUUUGCUUUUAGUGUAUCCGGUGUGACGAUCAUCGUCACGCUUUGGGGCGCGACCCCGUGAUCCGUAGAUCGAUCUUGUAUGUCCUGCUUUGUUUUCCAAUACGUCUCGCAGGUCCCGCGUGUUGCCCCGGGCCUUGGUGUUUUUGUUUGUCUAGCGACGGGGUGGGGGCUGGACUUCGGGCUGAUAUGCCCCUCUGUCUCGGCCACGAGGUGGCCGGUCAGCCGCAUCAUAUGCUGGUAAUGUAGGUUCCGAUGCUUCCUCCUCGAGUUGGGGUAGCAACCUGCGCUUUGGGUAACUCUUGGUUGGGCGUUCGAGUUCGUAUUCCUCGGCCGCAAGGACUUCAGUCCAUCUGUCUGUUAGCAGAUUCUUAUCAGCUUGAAGCUGUUGUUGCUUUUUCUUCAGGCUGUUUGCUGUGGCUAUAAGCCGGCACUUGAAGCGCUCCUGCUCGACGGGAUCCUCAGGCACGAUAAAUUCUUCGUCGCCGAGGCUCACCUCGUCUUCGGAGAGAGGCAUGUAAUUGUCAUCCUCUGAUUCUUCGUCUGCUGCCUGUUCCGGAGGGCUAGCUUGUUCAUCCUCCCGCUCUAGGUCUGGCUGGAGGGGAUUGUCGUCGUCCUCGACACUAUCCGGAGCGUUAUUGUCUCUUAUGCCAGUAUCGCUGCUUUUGCUAUGGCGGGACUUAGAGCGGCGUCGCUGACGUCGAUGCUUGGAUUGCUUCUUGGAGGGAUUAUCCUCCGCUGUCUUAUCGCCAUCUCCUUCUUUGGGGGUGUCCACCAUGUAUAUGUGAUAUGAUGAGGUGGCAGUCCAGCGCCCUAUGGGCGGUGGUUCUUGUUCGUCUCCUGCAUCGUCGUCUAUACCGUCGAUGUCUUCGGAGCCGAAGUCGAGCAUGUCGGUUAAAUCGUCGACAGUGGCUACUAAGUGGGUGGUGGGUGGGGAGCGAAUUUCUUCGUCGUCCGCAUCCCAUUCUAGCCGGACAUAGUUCGGCCAAGGGUCUCCUGACAGGGAGAGAGACCUCAAUGAGUUUAGCACGUCGCCGAAGGGUGAGUGCUGAAAGAUAUCCGCGGAGGUAAACUCCAUGAUCGGUGACCAAUCGGAUUCGAUAGGCACGGACGCAGGCGGCUCGGAGCUCAUGGCCGGGGAUGAAUCCAACGGUUCGGCAACACAGGUAUCGUAGGAGGUGAAGUUAGUAUUCGGCUCUAUCGCCACUGAGUGUGCGGCCUCCGUGGCAGGGUCCAUACACCCGUCCUCAGAUGGCGCAAUUUGUUCCGGAUUGAGGGCCGGAGUAGUUGCAGGUGUGAUCUCCCGAACACUGUCCGACGGCACAGCUAAGUCAUGCUCGUCGUGAUUGUGCGGCGCACCUGGCAUGGGCUCGAAUCCGUCGAAGAUCAAGUCUCCGCGGAUGUCGGCAGUAUAGUUCAAGUUUCCAAACCUAACCUGACGGCCAGGGGCGUAGCUCUCGAUCUGCUCCAGAUGGCCAAGCGAGUUGGCCCGCAGUACGAAGCCGCCGAAUAUGAAGAUCUGUCCGGGGAGGAAAACCUCACCCUGGAUUGCAUCGUUGCCGAUGAUCGAAGGAGCCAUCUAGCCUUACGGUGACGACACAGUGGAACUCUCAAUGAAAGCACCAAUGUUGGUGUCAAAACCGGCGGAUCUCGGGUAGGGGGUCCUGAACUGUGCGUCUAAGGCGGAUGGUAACAGGAGGCAGGGGACACGAUGUUUACCCAGGUUCAGGCCCUCUCGAUGGAGGUAAUACCCUACUUCCUGCUUGAUUGAUCUUGAUGGUAUGAGUAUUACAAGAGUUGAUCUACCACGAGAUCGUAGAGGCUAAACCCUAGAAGCUAGCCUAUGGUAUGAUUGUUGUUCUUGUCCUACGGACUAAGCCCUCCGGUUUAUAUAGACACCAGAGGGAGCUAGGGUUACACAGAGUCAGUUACAAGGGAGGAGAUCUACAUAUCCGUAUUGCCAAGCUUGCCUUCCACGCCAAGGAGAGUCCCAUCCGGACACGGGACAAAGUCUUCAAUCUUGUAUCUUCAUAGUCCAACAGUCUGGCUAAAGUAUAUAGUCCGGCUGUCCGAGGACACCCUAAUCCAGGACUCCCUCACCCUUCGCAGAGGGAAGUAGGGAUUUGUAGAGGUGCCAGAGCUUAGAGUGAAAAAUUAGAGAUAAAAACAUUUUGGGAGGUGUAUCCAUCCCACCAACAAAAACGACGUAGAGCUACGAACACUUUCCAUGCUAGAUAUUCCAUAGGCGGUUCCCAAACAGAAAAUAAAGUUUAUUCCUUUUUCCACCAUACUUUCACUUUCCAUGGCUAGCCGUAUCCACGGGUGCCUUCCAUACCAACACUUUCCAAGGAAUUUAUUAUUUGACAACAUAAAAUAAAUUCAUUUUUGCAUUUCGGGACUGGGAAUCCCUAAAACCUUUGCCUUACUCUCGUGCAAUGACAAGUGAAUAAACACUCAUCGUGAGAAUAACACAUCCAACAUGGAAAAUAUUAGCCACCCGUUACCGUUCCGUGAGCGAAACAAACACACAAAAGAGAAGUUUAUUUUGAAAAUUAGAGAUGGCACAUACAAAUUUGCUUAGAACGGCAAAAGAAUACAACAUAUAGGUAGAUAUAGUGGAAUCAUGUGACAAAACUGGUUUAAAGGAUUUUGGAUGCACAAGUAGGGGUCAUACUUAGUGCAAAAUGAAGGCUAGCAAAAAGAUUGAGAAGCGACCAACCAAGAAACGAAUAAUUUCGUAAAUCAAGCAUUAAGCAUAAGUAACACCGAAUAAUGCACCACAAGUAGGAUAUAAUUUUCAUUACAUGAUUAUUGACUUUCGUGCAUGCAUAGGGGAUCACAAACCUUAACACCGAUAUUCUUACGAGAGCACAAUUACUCAUCAAUCAUAACUCACAUAUCACAUCAUCAUGUCUCACAACUAUUACAAGGAAUCAAGUUUAUUUUGUCCAAUGAUCUUCAUGACAUUUUUUACUUUAUCCUUCUUGGGUAUCUAUCACUUUGGGACUAACUUUUCAUGUGUUGCUUUUCAUAAGCUCAAACAAAUUCUUUCUCUCAAAUAAUUUAAGUGAACUAGAGAGAAUUUCUUAAAAAAAUUACUAAAUCUCAAAUAAAUCUAAGUGAAGCAAGAGAUCAUUUCUUCAAAAAUAACAAAGCACACCGUGCUCAAAAAGAUAUAAGUGAAGUACUAGAGCAAGUCCUAGCUCAUAAAAGAUUUAAGUGAAGAACAGAGAGCAAUUCUAACAAGUCAUGACAUAUUUUUGGGUCUCUCAAAAAGGUGUGUCCAGCAAGGAUUGAUGACUUAAAACACAAAAUAAAACAAGCAAAGACACAUAUCAUACAAGGCGCUCCAAGCAAAACACAUAUCCUGUGACGAAUAAAAAUAUAGCCUCGAGUAAAAUACCGAUAGUUGUUGGAAGAAAGCGGGGAUGCCACUCGGGGGCAUCCCCAAGCUUAGUUGGUUGCUCAUUCUUGGACAAUAGCUUGGGAUGCCGGGGCAUCCCCAAGCUUAGGCUCUUACAUCUUUCCUUCAUCCAUCGUAAGAUAACCCAAAACUUGAAAACUUCAAUCACACAAAACUCAACAAAACUUUCGUGAGAUCCGUUAGUAUAAGAAAGCAAACCACUACUAUAAGUGCUGUAUCAAACCAAUUCAUAUUUUGUUUUUGUAUUAUAUCUACUGUAUUCCAACUUUUAUAUGGCAAAAAAUCAUCAAGGAAAACCAUAGAGCCAUCAAAAUAAGCACACAACACAAAGUAAACAGAAUCUGUCAAAACAGAACAGUCUGUAGUAAUCUGACUUUGGCGAAUACUUCUGUAACUCCAAAAAUUCUGAAAAAAUAGGAUGACCUGGGUAAUUUGUAUAUUAAUCUUCUACAAAACGAAUUGGCAUUUUAUCACGUUCUGGUGAUUUUUAACAAUUGUUUUCGCGAGUACAAAGUUUCUGUCCUUUUCAGCAAGAUCAAACAACUAUCACCCAAGAAGAUCCUAUAGGCUUCACUUGGCACAAACACUAAUUAAAACAUAAAAAACACAAUCAUACCAGUAUCAUAAUUGUGUAAACACUCAAGAACAGAAAGCAAAAAUAAAUUUUAUUCAUUGGGUUGCCUCCCAACAAGCGCUAUAGUUUUACGCCCUUAGCUAGGGGUACGGCAAGGAUCUAAGUAUUGUGAUCUUUGGUUCGAGAUCCAAAAGAUGCCCUCAUGAUAGAUUCAUAAGGUGGCCUGACUUUUGUUCUAGGAAAGUGUUCCAUACCCUUUCUCAAAGGAAAUUGGAACUUGAUAUUGCCUUCCUUCAUAUCAAUCACGGCACUGAUAGUGCGUAAAAAUGGUCUACCAAGAAUAAUAGGACAAGACGGAUUGCAAUCAAUAUCAAGAACGAUAAAAUCUAUGCGCACAUAAUUCCUAUUUGCAAGAAUAAAAACAUCAUUAAUUCUUCCCAUAGGCUUUUUAAUAGUAGAUUCCGCCAAGUGCAAAUUCAAAGAACAUUCUGCAAGAUUUGUAAGACCAAGCACAUCACAUAAAGAUUUCGGAAUAGUAGAAACACUAGCACCCAAAUCACACAAAGCAAAACACUCAUAAUUUUUAAUCUUGACUUUGAUAGUAGGUUCCCACUCAUCAUGCAAUUUUCUAGGAAUUGAAACUUCUAGUUCCAAUUUUUCUUCCAAAGCUUUCAUCAUAGCAUCAACAAUAUGUUUAGUAAAAGCUUUGUUUUGUUCAUAAGCAUGGGGUGAAUUCCACAUGGAUUGCAACAAAGAAAUACAAUCAAUCAAAGAGCAACUAUCAUAAUUAAAGUCUUUGUAAUCCAAAAUAGUGGGUGCGUUACUAGCUAAAGUUUUGACCUCUCCAAACCCACUUUCAUCAAUUUUCUCAACAAGAUUUUCACCCUCCGAAAUAUUGGGACGCCUUCUACCUAAAGUUGACUCUUCUCCAGUCCCUUUCUCCUCAUUAUUAAUUUUACUAAACAAAGAAUCAAUAGAAGAGACACCAAUAAUUUUAAGAUCUUCAUCACUUUUGCAAGAAUAAUCACUAGAAAAAGCUUUCUCUAAAAAUUCUCUUUUAGCUCUAAGCAUAGCAGUUCUUCUCUUACUUACAUCCAUAGAAACAUAAAGAGCUUUAAUUGAUUCAUCAACCUUAGGCACAAAAAAUUUCAUCUUGAGAUUUUCCACAUCAUGAGCAAUUCUAUCAACACUUCUAGACAAAUCAUCAAUCUUGUUCAACUUUUCUUCUAUGGAAGUGUUGAAAACUCUUUGUGUGUUGAUAAACUCUUUAAUAUUAUUCUCAAGAUCAGAGGUGUUCCUAUUAUUAUGGUAAGGUUGAUUUCCAUAGGAAUUACCAUAAUUGUUAGAGAAAUUACUAGGAAAAGGCCUAGGAUUAAAAUUACCUCUAUAAGCAUUGUUAUUGAAAUUAUUGCGAGAGAUAAAAUUCACAUCAAUGGCAUCACUAUUUUGCUCAAUCAAAGUAGACAAAGGCAUAUCAUUAAAAUCAAUAGGAGGACUUUUACUAGCAACCAAUUUCAUAAGAGCAUCAACUUUAUCACUCAAAGAGGAAAUUUCUUCAACCGAGUUAACUUUUUUACUAGUAGGAGCUCUUUCGGUAUGCCAUUGUGAAUAAUUUGCGAUGAUAUUAUCAAGCAAUUUGGUGGCUUCACCCAAAGUAAUUUCCAUAAAAGUACCACCCGCGGCGGAAUCUAAAAGAUUACGAGAAACAAAAUUCAACCCUGCAUAAAAAUUUUGUAUGAUCAUCCAAAGAUUUAACCCAUGAGUUGGGCAAUUCCUUAGCAUCAUUUUCAUCCUUUCCCAAGAUUGGGCAACAUGCUCAUGUUCAAGUUGCUUAAAAUUCAUGAUUUGGGUUCUAAGGGAAAUAAUUUUUGCGGGCAGAAAAUACUUAGUGAUAAAAGCAUCUUCGCACUUGUUCCAAGAAUCGAUACUAUUGCGAGGCAAAGAAGAGAACCAAAUUUUUGCAGAAUCACGCAAAGAAAACGGAAACAAUUUCAUCUUGAACACAUCAUUGUCCACAUCUUUUUUCUUUUGCAUAUCGCAUAAUUCCACGAAGGUAUUAAUAUGGGACACAUCAUCCUCAUUAGGAGUACCGGAAAAUUGGUCUUUCAUGACAAGAUUCAGCAAAGCAGUAUUAAUAUCACAAGUCUCCGCACUAGUGGUGGGAGGAGCAAGCAGAGUGCCGAUAAAAUCAUUAUUGUUGGUAUUUGAGAAAUCACAUAACUUGGUGUUCUCUUGAGUCAUGAUGACCACACAACAAGAUUGCACUCAAAAACAGAUCCGGCAAGAAAACGACGAACGGAAAAAGGGAGGCGAAAAAAACGGCAAAUUUUUGUGAAGUGGGGGAGAGGAAAACGAGAGGCAAAUGGAAGAUAAUGUAAAUUGCGAGGAGAUGAGAUUUGUGAUCAGGAACCUGGUUAUGUUGAAGAUCCUCCCCGGCAACGGCGCCAGAAAUUCUCCUUGAUGGUAGCUGGAACUACGUCGGUAUUUCCCUGGAGAGGGAGGGAUGAUGUAGCACAGCAACGGUAGGUAUUUCCCUCAGUUAUGAAACCAAGGUAUCGAAUCAGUAGGAGAACCAAGCAACACAACGUAAGAAACACCUACACAUGAACAACAACACCUUGCAACCCGACGUGUUAAAGGUGUUGUCAAUCCCUUCCAGGGUACGGCGCCUCAAGAUAGGCAAACGGACGUGAGGUAAAUUGUAGUAGAUUGCUAGAUCGAACGCCAAAAAAA
rnacentral:lncRNA from 1 species